UGUUGACAUAUCUGUGCCCAUUCCAGUUAAAGUUGGCUUUGCAUAUGAGUUCUUAGAGUUCUCAGUUUGUUGCAUAACAACUUGGAAGCAAUGGCAGGCCCUUGAGCUGCCAGGUGGCAAGAAGUUAAGAUUGAGUUCAAUCCAUAUGGUUUUGGAUUUGUCAUUAUCUUUGUCUUGUGAUUAUGGUUUGACAAAUUCAUAUGGGUAGGAACUCAUACACCAUAUAAAUCUAAGUGUCAUAAGGUUUCUCUCCGAUUCAUGAAAAUGAUGGUGAGGAAACGCUUUCACUAAGUAGAUUUUACGAAGAUAUCAAUUGUGUUAUUUGCAUUUUCAAAAGUCGUUAGUGGAGCGCGUGUGGUUAACCGGCACACUAACAUGGACUUGUGAGAAAUGGCAAAUGCCUAAGCAAUUGAGACCAUGAUUACGGUAUCCCUUUUCAUGGUUCUUGAAAUUGCUUAGACACACAGGUGAGCUAUCUACGGAAAGGGUGUAUGAAUCUAAAUUUCAGACUGUCCAGCUGAUUUCUGAGUACAUGUCAAAGCUAGUGGGAGCAUAAGUGUUAUGCUAAUAAUCAUCAUGUUAGUGGGAGCAUGAUAAUUAUGAUAAGUAUUGCAAGUUAGCAAUGUUAAUUAUAGAAAACAAAAGUUUCAAUUGGGAAAAAGUUGUUUUGCUAUAAUUAAGGGAGAGGAAAUUAUGCUUCAUCUCAAAUCUAUAAGCUUAGAUCGUGAGGUUUUAAUCAUUUAGUCAAGGAUAUAUAUGAAUUUCAUGUUGGAAUGGCUCAACAUAAGGAAAUUCUGUAUAUGGGUCCAUUAUUUGCGUUCUAAAAUUCGAUUAUGAUUACGGCAUCCCUUUUCAUAAUCUGAAUUAUGAGAACUUGGCAAAUUGAAAUGGAAAUAUUAUAGCAAAAGACUGGUUUAGUCUUUAUGUAAGACAUCAUGAAUCGUGUCCCAUAUGCUUCGGAUAUAGGAUCGAUUACAUGUGCUAUAUUCAUCCGUUCUAAAAUUUUCCAAAUGCCUGGGGCAUUAAGAAGGGAAAAGGUUUAGAACUGGAUAUGACUAAAAGGAUUAAACAAUUGUCGAGGACAAUCUAAGGUUUACCAAAGAUUGGUUACUCAAGGACAAUUGGAAGUAUAGUGAUAAUUCUGGAAGGACCAUAUUGACAUAAUCUGUAAGGAGGCAACUCUUGUUCAGAAGUGAUAGUCAAAAUGGAAUCUGGAAAUGUUUCAAAGUUAGAAUUUUCAAUCUGUGUAAGAUUAAGGAAACUUAAUGCAAGAAGGAUAUUUCCAAGGAGUUGAUCUCCUUUGGAAUACUCUGUAAUGAUUGUUGCCAAGUCUUUGUGACUUUGUGCAUAAUCAUUACAAGAGGAUCAAUGCAUAUAAGUUUAGAAUCUAACAGAUUUCAGUAAAUGGCAUGAAUUUGGAAUUCUUGCAUUUGCAGUAAGGAUUUGGGAGUGUGAAAAGAGAAUCAUUGAAGUUAUGUUCAAUUGAUCUAGUUCACAAAGUAAAGAUCAUAGACAAACAUAGUAUGCAUACUUGGUGUGUGGCAUGACUAGUGUUUAAGAAAACAUAGUGUACAUGCUUGGAGCAUGGGACAACUAUUGUUUUAAAUUCAAGAAUAAAGUUGAUAGCUGAAACAGUAUACAAUGAAUAAUGUGUAAUCAUAUGGUGAUAAAUAAAAGGUGUUUUAUUUAUGUUCAAAGGGUUGAUACCAUAUUGGAUUCAAUUAUUAUUGUGUUUCAUUUUGCAUGUUUUGACUUCCCGAAUAAACUGGGUUAUUCUUCCGGAAUGACUAAGUUAUUCAAACCAUCCACAGUCGGUCAUAUGUUGGAAGUAGAUAUGAAUUAAGACUGUCAUGGGUUGGCUUGUAGAGGUCUAAGGUGUUGGACAAAGGGCUACAACACUCAUGAGUGCUCAUAAGUUCUGAGUAUUGGAUUCAACCCGCGCUCAUUGGAAUCACUUCAUGGAUUUUAUCACGAGUGAUCAUGAGACGAUAAUAUCUUAUAUUCUUCAAACCUAGAGAUAUGAGUUGUUACUAUGAGUUGAUAGUACAUUGAUUGCACGAAAACGCAUUUGGUAACUCGGUGCUAUAAAACGUGCCUUUGUGUAUGAUUCAACAAGUAGUAGAACAAGCCAUAUGAGUCGAAGUUUAUCCAUUCCUUUUACCUUCGGGAUAAAAGCGAUAUCUGUGGGCCCCUCGAUGAUUUGAUGAUGACAAAUGGAAGUGCUCGGCCGGGCCAGGACUGAUUUGAUUUGUUCAAUUAGUCAGUCGUCAUAAAUCGGAAAUCGGGAAACAACAAAUGGACAGAGAGAAUGAUUAUAAUCCAUGUCUCAGUCCAUAUGAUAUCUAGAAUGGAGGAAUAUAUGAUCCCUUAUCUAAUGGACAAGUCAUUGACAAAGGUCAGAGUUCAUCUACAAGGUCAGAGUUCGACAGAAGCUUUUGAGAGCUACGAUUGCCAGUUGGUUCCUGAAGUCAUACGCAAUAAUAGUUUUAGACUUAUCCAAGUGGGAGACUGUUGGAUUAAUGUCUAAGUCCAUAACUAUAAUUGGUAAGACUUGACCCGACCCGGCAUGGUCCAUUUGGGUUGCAUGGCAUCAUGCAUUUGGAUAGACUAAAAUGAGAGAAAUAACACUUAAGGUUUGUUAAUAUAUUAUAAGUUCUAAUAUAUUAAUAAGGUUAUUUAAUUAGUAUUGAUCAAGAAUUAAUUUGGAAUUAAUUAAGUGAUCAAAAGGAGACUAAUUAGAUAUAUGGGUUGAUUGUGUAAAUCAUUCAUUCUUAUAUAUGUGGGCUUGUGAUCCAAGAUUCCUUAUGUUGGACUAAGUCCAUGGGGUGACCCAUGGAUACUCCAUGGAGGUUAAAAUCCAUGGAGCAUAAGGAAUGGGUAAAGUCAUGAGUUACAUGGUGUAACCCUAAUAGCCACCAUAUAAAAGAAUCCCAUGGCUCAAGAAAUCGGGCACUAUGUGUGAGUGUGAGGGCUAGACGAUUUCAAGGAGUGUUCAAGUUUCUCUCAAGUUAUUCCAAGUGUAUUUGGUGUUGUGUGAACCAUUUGAGGUGUCACACUUGGGGCACUAGGCACUCAAGCUUCAUGAAGACUUUCUACAUCAAAGAGGUAUGUAUUCUAUCUUGUUAUAUUCAUUGUUUUGUAUGCUAGAUUAGGAUAAUACCUUGGAAGUUCAUAUUUGCAUGUAUAAUAGAGAAAACAUAGAUCCAAGGUAUUUAGGGUUGCAUGUACACUUAGGAGUGUUAAAAUGCUCAAAACCCAACAUGUUCAUGGUGUUUUUGAACCAUUUGAGGCAUCACAUUUGAUGUGCUAAGCUCUUGAAAGGCCAAAACUAUAAGCUACAAUAAAGAGGUAUUCUUCUAACUUGAUUUUAUGAUUAAUGUACCAAAAUUGUAUGCUAGUUGUAUGCUUCAAGCUUUGGAAAUUUUAUUGCAUGUAUAAUUAGAGAAAACAUAGAUCCAAAGCUAUUAGUGUUGCAUGUGCACCAUAGGAGUGUUAUAGUGCUUAAAACCUAACACGACAUUGGUGUGUUAGACCCGCUAACCUAGUGAGGAAACUUACCUCAAAUGCUGAAGCUCACUAAAAGAAAUUCAUAGUUGUUGCCCUGACGACUCCCCGAGUUAUCAAUACAAAAUAACACCCAAUUAACACUUGGGUUCCAAUUUAUAGCCCAUAAUCCAUACUUGGGGCAAAAUGACCAUUUUACCCUGGGCUUACCUUGAGCCAAAACUGAGUCCCAAAUCCAUAAACCCAAAAGGCCCAAAACCAAUAGAUCAACUAAGGCCCACUUACGACUUAAUUUUCCAAACUGGGCCUUACCAUAAAGCCCAAAAAUUUCCUUAGCCCAAAAGCUUGAUUUCAAAUGGACCAAAAAGGCCCAAAGAAACAAAGUCUAAAGAAGUGGCGCAAUCCGAGGCCCUAAGAUGCGAAGCCCAAACUGUUUGGGUAUGUAGGGCGUACUUAGCUAUACACUAAGCGUACUCGCUGCAUGGCUUGUACGCUGCACGUAUUGGCUUGUACGCCCAUCGUACUCCGCUAUUAAGCCAUUUCUUCCAUUAAGCUCUUAAUGCUCAAGUCUAAUGGCCCACAACACAGAUCUGAGUCCCAAAGAGUAUCUAGAACCAUAAAGUCACUGACUUGGUGACUUUGCAUGCCCUAAAAGAUCCCAACUUUGAUUUAUAACAUUCUACUUUCAAUAUAAUGGCCAUAACUCAUGCAUGGAUGCUUCUAAGCUUCUAAGAUGCCAACUUAUGACUUUAAGACCAAAAGAACACCAAGAGUAGCAACUCUAAGCUUUAGAAAUGAUAAUAAUCCACAAGAUCUCAUUUAUGGGACCAAAAUGGGUCCAAAACUCAAACAAAGGAGAUCUCAGCUAUAACACAACAAGUUCAGAUUUUAUACUUCAAAUGAAUGCCAAAAGAUGAUAACCCGGAUCUACAAGCUUCCACUCUUCCAAUAAAGGUGCAAGAUGAUCUCAUUCCUUCAAAACACUAAAAAUGCACCCAAAGACCUUCUAAGCUCAAGAACAAUCAACUAUGGAGUUAGGGUUUCGAGUAUAGGGUUGGGAGGACGAGGAGGUUGAAUAAAUGAGGGUGUCAAGUCCAUAAUUAUGAUUAUAUAGUGUCUAACGUUGGAAAUUAGGGUUUCCAAAAUCCUUACGCAUACCCCGCGUACACUUCUGUAUGCCCAACGUACACCUUCGGAUCCACAAUCAAACCCUCGCAUGAGUACGCUAAGUAUACUACUUGGUUCGCCCCGCGUGCUCGUUUUACAGCUUGUACGCUAGGCGUACCUUGUGGUACGCCCCACGUACAACUCAAGGAGCAAAUAUGAAAAUUUAAAUAAUGUAAGGGCAAAAGAGAAACUUACAAAGAUUCAAGUGUUACAAUUCUCCCCCACUUGAAUUAGACUUCGUCCUCGAAGUCCACCGCCCCGAACAACUCUGGAUAAUAUUUUCUCAUCUCAUCCUCGGGCUCCUAUGUCCACUCUGACCCCUUUCGGUACAGCCACUACACCUUCACCACCUCUACAACCUUGUUCCUCAAGGUUUUCGUCUUCCAAUCUAAAAUUGACACCGGUCUUUCAAUAUAAUUCAGGAGGUCAUCCAACUGAAUAUCCUCCAAUGGUACAAAUGCGGAAUCAUCUACUAAACACUUCUGCAACUGAGAGACAUGAAACAUGCUAUGAAUCUGACUGAGCUCGGCUGGAAGAUCUAGACGAUACACAACCCGGCCAGCCCGAGCCAAAACCCUGAAGGGACCAAUAUACUUGGAGCCCAGCUUGCCCAACUUCCUUAAUCGGAUGUCACCUUUCCAAGGUGACACCUUCAGGUGAUCCAUAUUCCCCACCUGAAAUUCCAUUUCCGAUCGACGCUUGUCAGCGUAACUCUUCUACCGACUCUGAGUUGUCUGGGGCCUGUUUCGAACCUGUUGAAUCAACUCAGUGGUCUUGAGCACCAUAUCGGUACUCCCUGUGACUCGCUAACCGACCUCACCCCAACAAAUCAGGGUCCUGCACUUCCUCCCGAAGAGCAUCUCAAAAAGAGGUCGAUAAAUACUGGUGUGAUAACUGUUGUUUUAUGAAAAUUCUGCUAACAGAAGAUACGUAUCCCAACUCCCAUCAAAAUCCAACAUACAUGAAUGCAGCAUAUCCUCAGGGGUCUGAAUAGUACGAUCACUCUGACCAUCGGUCUACGGAUGAAAUGUUAUACUAAAAUGGAGACGAGUGCCCAACUCCUCAUCAAACCGCUUCCAGAACCUGGAAGUAAAGAGAACAUUCAUGUCUAAAAUCACUGAUACCGGCACCCCAUAACGUGUCACCACCUCCUUGAUAUAAAUCUCAGCCAACUUCUCUGCAGAAAUACUCUUUUGGAUCGGGAUGAAAUACGUGAUCUUGGUCAAACGAUCCACGAUAACCCAAAUAGAAUCCACUCCGCACAUAGUCCUAGGAAGCUUCGUGAUAAAAUCCAUAAUGAUGUCUUCCCAUUUCCAUAUGGGAAUCUCCAACAGGUUCAUCUUGUCGUGAGGAUGCUGAUACUCGGCCUUGACUUUCCUGCAAGUCAGGCACCGCUCAACAUACCAUGCCACAUCCCGCUUCAUGCAGGGUUACUAAUAAUCAGGACAAAGAUCCCUAUAGAUCUUUGUCACCUCGGGAUGAAUGGAGAACCUCGAAUUUCGGGCCUCCUCCAUUAGAAUCUAGAGUACACCGCCCUAACAAGGAACCCAUACUCGUUGAUGCAGAGUCACCAAACCAUGACUAUCAUAAUUGAAGGUAGCCACCUGACCUACAAUGCGCUCACUCUUCCAGUGCUCUUCCUUCAUAGCCUCUACCUGAGGCUCACGAAUCCGCUCCAAUAAUGGAGUAAUCACUAUCAUCCUCAAACAUAUAUCUCUGAUAGAAUUUGUGACUGCCUUGAGGAUGAGAGCAUUAGCCACCACAUUGGCCUUCCCCGAGUGAUAAAGGAUCUCACAAUCAUAAUCAUUCACCACAUCCAACCAACGACGCUGUCUCAUGUUCAAAUUCGGCUGAUCCAUCAGAUACCUCAAGCUCUUGUGAUCCGUGUAAAGAGAACAACGGACCCCAUAGAGGUAAUGCCGCUAAAUCUUGAGGGCAAAAACCACGACCCCCAACUCCAAAUCAUGUGUCAGAUAAUUCACCUCAUGAGGCUCCAGCUGCCUCGAAGCGUAAUAAAUCACACAAUAUCGCUGCAUCAAAACUGCCCCCAGAACGGAGAUCGAAGCAUCCUAAUAAACCACAAAGUCAUCGACACCCUUAGGUAGGGUCAGAAUCGGCGCCUCACACAACCGCUGUCUAAGAGUCUCAAAAGUUUCCUGCUACUCAGGCCCCCAACGAAAUGUCACUGACUUCUUGGUCAGUCGGGUCAAUGGAACAACGAUCUUGGAGAAAUACUGGAUGAAUCUCCGAGAAUAACCUGCCAGACCAAGAAAACUUGAAAUCUGACAUGCAGAUCUCAGAACCUCCCAUUGUAUAACGGCCUUACCUUGGCUAGAUCGACCAAAAUACCCUUCUAGUUGACAAGGUGCCCCAGAAACUGCACCUCGCGCAACAAGAACUCGCACUUGGAGAACUUUGCGAAAAGUCUCUCCCUCCUCAAAGUCUCCAGGACUUCCCUCAUGUACUUUGGAAUAAACCUAGAUGUCAUCAAUAAAUACUAUCACAUACCAAUCCAGCAUCAUUCUACAUAUGCGGUUCAUGAGAUCCAUGAACGCAGCUGGAGCAUUAGUGUGCCCAAAAGGCAUCACCACGAACUCAUAAUGACGAUAUCGAGUCGGGAAGGCUGUCUUCUGCACAUCCUCAUCCCUGACCCAAAUAUGAUGAUAACCCGAAUGCAAAUAAUUCUUGGAGAACCAAGAUGCUCCCUGAAGCUGGUCAAAAAGAUCAUCGAUCCUCGGGAGGGGAUAACGGUUCUUCACUAUUACCUUAUUCAACUCCCGGUAGUCGAUACACAUAUGUUGAGACCCAUCCUUCUUCUUCAUAAACAUAAUAGGUGCUCCCUAAGGUGAACUGAUCGGUCUAAUAAAUCUAUUGUCUAACAGCUCCUGCAGCUGUGUAGACAACUCUUGCAUCAAGGGAGGAACCAACCAAUACAAUGCUUUGGCUCUCUAAUCCACACCUAGAACCAGAUCAAUCAUGAACUUCACCUGCCUUUCUGGAGGCACCCCAGGAAAAUCCUCUGGAAACACAUCUGAAUAAUCCUGCACAAUCGACACAUCAUCCAUGGUCGCAUUACCCUUAUCCCGGGAAUCCAUGACAUAGGCGAAAAAACUCGAGCAACCCUGAAGAAGAUAGCAUCCAACCCUCGCUGCAGAACACAAAAUUGGCCCACGCUGCAGUCUCUCACCAUGAAUAACGAACUCUCCCCCACUUGGGGUCCGAACCUGAACUAACUGCUACUCACAGUGAAUCAUUUCCCCAUUAGGGCUCAACCAAUCCAUGCCCACGAUAUCCUUGUUCCCACGCAGAGGAAUGGGAACCAAAUCAACCAGAUACUGCUCGCUGAAUAACUGAAGAACACAACCCCAGUGAACCCUCACAACCUAAACUGUCCUAUCAUCAGCAAUCUCAACAUCAAGAGGACAAUCCAGCUCCCCCAGAGCUCUAGAAAAUCUCUUGCUAAGCACAAGUGAUAUAAAAGACCGGGUAGCCCCCAAAUCAAACAAUGCUAAAGCAGAAUUACCAUUCACGAAGAACGAUCCUAGAAAUAAAACACAUAAAAAUAAGUAGGCAAUUCAAUAUAAAUAAAGACAUAAAGAGAAGAUACAUACCCGUCACCACAUCGGGAGCUACAUGUGCCUCCUCCACCAUCAGCUGGAAAGCCCUGCUCUUAGCUGCAGGCGUAUCUUCCUGGCCCUAACAGUCGUCUCUAAUCCGAAGAGUCACAGGAGCGGGUGCUGACACCGGUUCUACUGCAGCUAAACGCGGAAAUUGGGCCUUCUUGUGGCCCUUCUAAUUACAAUGAAAACAAAAUAGGUCUAAUCCCUGGGUGGUGGUAGCAGUACAAUCCCUGCUAUAAUGACCCGUCCGAAUACACUUAAAGCAGCCAAAACCACCACCAAUGCCACUCCUGCACGGUGCCUCGUGCGUCCUGCUGCAUUUGACAUAGCUGCUACGGCCCUAAUGGCCCCUCCAUCUGGAAUCCGAUACCUUGGUCAUCUUGCCCGAACCCCCUGAUGUCUGAACCUUAUCUGGCUUCUUCUUCCUAUCCAUCUCCAGGUCAAUCUCCCUUUCCCAAGCUCGAGAAGAUGGACCGGCUUAGAAACUGCCGAAUAUCGCUCCUUAAGAUCUCAUGAUAUCGGUCCUUCUUCAUCUCCUCAUCUGCCACAUAUUGUGGAACCAUAGGUGCCCUCUCCGUGAACAUCGUAGUGAUCUCAGUCACCGUCUCUGUAGUCUGGCGGAGAUCCUGGAACUCUCGUGUCAACUGUUGCACCUCGAUUAUUGGUGCAAACUCAGCUCGAAACCAAGUCGAGAAAUCAUCCCAUGACAUCACAUAAACCGCAUCAUCACCUAGUGCACCCAACCUCCUCCCACCAGUCUUGCACCCUGUGCUUCAAAAGGUAGGAAGCUAAUCUUACCUUGUCCCCCUCAGGACAGUGACUGGUACGGAAAGCGUUAGCAACAUCCGCCUAACCAAUGCCCACUCGCAAAGGGGUCCUUCACCUCAUAAUAAUUUGUAGCUCCACAAGCCCGGAACUCCCUGAAUGUCAAAGAUCAAUCUCCUGCUAAUGCCAUAAUCUCAUAACAGAACGAGCUUAAUCACUCCUCCAAAACCUUUAGGAUACCCUCCUUGACCGAGGCGAAGAUCACACGAGUUUGAUCAAGAAUCCUAUGAGUAAUCUCUGACGAGAGAAACUCCUUAGUCUGCUUAACGAGCUACCCAACUCCAGAUCAUGAUCCUGAACCCUCCCCGGCACUAGAGUUGUUGAUAGGUCUGCCCUGUAAUACCACAAUACUGAAAAUAGACCACAUAAACCACCAGAACAUACACAUUGAGAUAUNNNNNNNNNNNNNNNNNNNNNNNNNNNNNNNNNNNNNNNNNNNNNNNNNNNNNNNNNNNNNNNNNNNAGCUCUCCUUGAAUCGAGUAUGGAUACUCUGCUUCUAGUAGUACGGGCCCAUACUACCUUCUACAUCUAUUUGUACUUUCCUCAAAAAUUGCUUUGGCUCAACCACGUUACUCUAAAUCCAUAUAACCUCCCCUCACAGAUAAGGCUCUUAGCACUAGAUCUCAUGCUAGGUUUUCAUAAGGAAAACUCCAUACCACUCUCCGCCAUCAGCUGCAGAAGGAACUCCCACUAACUUCCUCUAAUGAGCUCGCGAAUACCAUCACAUAUCACUAAAACUAGAGAAUUCUUCGAAUGAGAGGUCUCACACUACAAUGCUUGGUGUAAAAUCCCAUUUAAAUAUAAUAAUUUAAUAAUAAACCCAGAACCCCGAGAAGUGAUUUUUAUUAUUAUCAUAUGUUAUGAUAGUCCAAAAUCUGAUAAUAAUUAUUUGGGAGUCGUUUUCAGGAAGCCAAAUGACAAGAUUUGAAUCUCCAGGGGCUAAUGUAUAAUUUUGGGAUUUAAUUUAUAAAGACUUAUGGAAGUGGAGACUAAAUGGUAAGUUUUGGACCUAACUUGAAAAGGGAUUUGCAUAGGAAGGGCAAUUUGGUAACAAUUGGAUCAAAUUUGAAGGAAAAACAAGAUGGAGGGCUGGUUCUGUCGUUAUGGGAAAAUGUUAUAAGGGAGUCAGGGUAUAAAACCCGCUACCUUCUCAAACCCUAACCCUAGAUCGGAUAUGAUGCAAUCGUCACCACCCGCUCCACCCUUGUUCCCCCAGCCGCCAUUACCCUCUUCUUCCUCCUUCUCCGACUCCGGCGCCGCACCACCACCCAUUGCUCUUGUGUUUCCGACCAACAAAGCCAACCAAUGCCGUCCGUAGCCACUUGUGAUGUCGUCGAUGUUGUUCCAGUGACCCGUGUCGAUGACUCCCUUCCAGCAUGUGGUUGCCUCCGCUGCGCAAAACCGCCUCCAGUCGUAGUGCCAUUGUUGCUACCAUGGCUGCCGAUAACGGAGCUGCCGACGACAAGAUCGAUAGCCGCCAAGUCGAGGACCAACGACGGACGUCGUGGCCACUGNGUCGCCGCCGAUAAUGGAGCUGCUGUCGGAAUUCUGGUGUCACCGCCGCCAGGUGGGUGGCUGGGCUUAUCUCGCGAUCAGAAUAAUGUGUGGCUGGGGGGCCANGCCAGAAAAGACCGGUUUGUUUAUGCUUUGUUUAAAAAUCAGAGUUACAUUUUAAAUGAAAGUGUUGCGGAAUUUGUCCCAAAACAAAAAUAUGAUAAAGAUUUAUCAAAAGAAUUUCCAUAGAAAUGUAUUUCAUUAAAAGACUCGGGAUGUCAUGUUCGUACAGAUCAAAAACAUAAACAGUACAAUAUAAGCCUUACUACAUUAUUUCAUAUCUACAGGCCUAUAUCCGUAAUCGGUCAUCCAAAACAUCACACCUAUGCUCAUGCGCCACUACCUGUAAUACAUAAAACUGAGUGGGUCAGGCUUGGGAGCCUGGUGAGCACAUAGGGUUUUCAACCCACAAUAAAUAAGUUUAUUAAUUUCAUCGAUCAACAAUAACCCGAUUACCCGUUCCCGUUAUCCUCACUUUACGUCCCUAAACACCUAUCAUAAGGGACCUAGCCUAAGGAUCAUCAUCGGGACGGACACUACUGCUAAGGGGAUUCCUCAGCAAUAAAUGUCCUAAAGGCAACCAUGUGGGGGAUGGAGUACACCGGUGAACACAUCGUUCACAAACACCUACAGGUUGCGAGCCUGCUAGUGUUCCACUGGACUGUCUAGAAGAGUCCGUGGUCGUCAUCCAUACUCCGCUAGAUGACAGAAUCAACAACAUCAACAUCGAGGCCUCUCAUCAUUUUAUCACACAUCACCUAUUGCAUCUACCCAUGUUUUACCCCAACAUUUUCGUAGAUAUAAAAUACAUAUACAGUUUAAAUCAUUGAAAACAUGUAUAACAACGUUCAUCUAGCAUAGAUAGCAAGUAUUCAGAUAAUAUGCACACAUAGCACGUAAUUUAUAUAAAAUACUUCAUAUCUAUGUGUAAGUUGAAAGUAACUAUGCACUCACUUGUUAAGGUGAUGAUUCCAAAAUCGGGCAGCGCUUGCUUCUAACGAUUCUAUUUUCCUUCGACGAAACCUAGCAUUAUUAUCGCUAAAUUUUAGUCUAAUAUUUACCGUGACCAACUAUUAGUCUUAGUAUUAUUAUUAUUAUAUAAGCGUUAAACAAUAUUUUCCAACCACUAUGUACAGACAGGGGCCAGACAUAAAACACCGGAGGGCAGGACCAUUUUGGCAUAUAGCACUUCUGAAAUCCAACAACCCUAUGCGGCCCUUUAAACCAGAUUCCCCGUACCGCGAGUAGUUAAAAAAAAAUUUAUAACGACACUUAUAUAAGUUAUAAUAAUAGCUCAAAUAUUUAUUAUAAGUUCAUAAUAACAAUACUAAUUUUAAAUAUAAGCUAUAUUAAAAUAAGGUAAGCAUAACUUACUUACAAGGGGGUUUUAGCUAGGAGUCGGGCUCUGCAGGGGCAGAACUUCGUCGCUGAAUCUUUCUAAGAAAGAUUCGUGCAGCGCUUCAGCGCUCACCUUACUAUACUAAGCUACAGAAAGAGAAGUCGAAUCACGAGGGACCGAAAUGCUCGGGGGAUAAGGAGAGAAAGACUCUUGAAUCAAGAGAAUGGUGCAAGAAAUAUGAGAGCCCAAGGCUCUUAUUUAUACUAAUUGAAUUUUCAAAAACUACCCUCCAUAAUUACUUAAUGACCUUUUAGUUAUAUAAACAACUAAACACCCCUCUAUAAUACUAUUAUAAAUGGAUUUAAUGAUAUUUGUACUAAACUAAUGUCGAAAGAACUCAACAUUAGUCUUAUAAUGACCGCAUCGUCGAUACCUUUCUAAUGAUAUAUACAUAUGUAUAUAUAUGUGUACGUAUACAUGAUUUAUACUUUAUUUUAAUACGUAAAUAUGCUAUUAUAAUUUGUAACUCGUUCAUACGAACUCCGUUUUUGACGUUCUUUAUAUCCACGCGUAGGUGAAGACGUACUCUACAACUUUCGUUUAGACUCCGUCGGCUAAUUUUGACUUUAUUUUUAAAGUUAUAUUUUUAACAAGCCGGGACAGGAUUGGUCUGUUUAAAAUCUCAUAACUUCUUCAUACGAAGUCAGAUUUGGGCGUUCUUUUUAUCGAUGUUCUUAGUUUAACAUAUUCUACGACUUUCGUUUAGAUCACUAAGGCUAAAUCUCGCUCUAUCGUAAAUUCACUAUUCACGCUUCCCGGUAUCGUGCCGGUUCUGUCGUGAAACUUCGACGGGUCAUAACUUCUUCGUUAUAACUCGGAUUUCGGCGUUCCUUAUAUGCACGGAAACCUUGAGACAUAUUCUACAACUUUAUGUAGAGAUAUCGGGAUUAUCUCACACUUUAAUUUUGACGCUCAUUUUUAUUCUUUAUUAAUUAUACAUUUAUAAUUAAAUAAUAAACACAUAUAAUUCACAUAAUACUCAAAUAUUUCAUCUUUAUUACUUCAAAAAGAGUUAGAAGAGUUGACCUAGACUAUUACAUUGACAAAAAUGCUUAGCCCUGAAACCCGGGCGUUACAGCCACUCUCUACCACCGUUUGCUGCCACAAGGUGGCGGUGGGUGUAGUUAUGGGUAGUUUAUUUUGGGUUAUUGUGUGUAUUAUUGUAAUUGGUGCUUGAAAUAAUAAUAGAAAAAUCCAUAACCACCAUCGUGAGGUGGUGGCUGCCGCCAACAGCCGCCAUGUCGGGUGGCGGUGUGCUUUGCCAUGUCGUGUUGAUUCGUUUGGGAUGCAUGAAAGCCUAGUGGGCCCAAUGGAGCCCUAAUGGGCCCAAGGAAACCCUAAUUGACCUAAUAAAACCUUAAUGGGCCCAAUGAGGCCCAAAGUCACAUAAAAGCCCAACCAUUUGAUUAAUGGGAUAGUAUUAGGUUGGAAACCCUAAUUAGGAUUUGGAAAACCCUAAUGCCAUGAAAACCUAAUUUUGGAAAUUGAUAGGGACACACACAGGAAUUAUUUAAUAACUUGAUAUUAAAUAAUAAUCAUUGGCAAAUUAACCUAAGUCAAUAUUAGACUUAUUGGAUUAGGUCCUUAAUGGUUUAUGUUAGAAACACUUAACCCUAAUCAUCAUUUCAUGUGAAAACCCUAAUUUUAGGAUUAUAGGCUUGGACUUAUCGGGACCCACAUUUGGGCCAUUGGAAAAGAAUUGUAUAUUAAGCCCAAUCACACCAUAUGACUUAUUUAGUAAAGUAAGGGACUUAAUGGAUUAAGUGAGAAACACUUAACCCUACUUGUCAUUUUAUGUGAAACCCUAAUUUCACUUGGGCCUUGAGCCUUCCUAUAGGGUUUUGGUGGUUAGACUAUUGAUGGACCAUCCAAGAACAAGUUAAUGGACCAAAGUAAUUAGAUGGGAUUUAGGAUAAGUCCCAUGUGAGGACUUGGGCCCAAUUUGGAAGAUUGGGCCAUAUGUUGGGCCUUGGCCUAUUAGUUGACUUUUGGGCUUUUGGAGUGUGAGUUGGACUUUGGGCUUGGAACCCAAUUAUUAAUUGGGUAUUGUUUGAUGUUGACAGUUCGGAAAUCUAUCAAUCAGCAGCAGGAGUGUACUUUCGGGACUUCAGCAGUGCCAGGUGAGCUCUCCUCACUAUAUCAACAGGGUCUAAGGCACCAAGGCCGACCCUUUAUGGAUUGUAUUCAGAUUAUUGCAUGUUAUGCUUACAGAUUUAUAUCCUGGUAGUUAGGAUAGUGAUAUGCUUUGCUUUAGUGACCCGGUUGGGUCGGUAUCCAAGUAUAUAGGAUGAUGCUAUGUUAGUGACCUGUUAGGUCGAUAUCCUGGUUAUAGGAUUGUUGCUAUGCUUUGUGAUCUGUUAGAUCGGUUUGACUGUUAUAUAUAUACAUGCUAGUGUUAUAUGAUGUCUAUGUGCUCAUGAUUGUCCUGGUUAUAGGAUGAUGCUAUGUUAGUAACCGGUUAGGUAUGUAUCCCGGUUAUUGGGAUGUUGCUAUGAUUGGUGAUGUGUUAGAUCUGUUUGACUGUUAUAUGGAAUGAGCUAGCGUAUGAUAUUUAUGUGCACAUGUUUGUUUGAUUGAGGAUUGGAUUGAGGCGGUCCUGCUUUGUGUUAUAGGCCAACAUACCCGGCGAGCGGUCCGGAUCGGCUGUAGACCCUGCGUGGCGGUCCAGACGUGCCGAAGGCUCGAAGAGCAGUCCAGAUAGACUGAAGGCCUGUGAGGCGGUCCAGUCAAGCUGAUGACUCAUUAAGCAUCCUGUUUUGUAUUGGUUAUAUGAUAUGGUUAUGUUUGUAUGGCGUUGGUAUUUUGGGGAAACUCACUAAGCUUCGGGGUUAUAGUUGUUGAUUUUGUUUCAGGCACUUCAGAUGAUUGCGGGAAGGCGAAGGCGUGAUCGUGCACCUCCUUAUAUUUUCAUGAUUGAUUUUGGGAAUACUCUGAUGUCUAAACUAUUUUGAAAACAACCUGCAAUAACUUAAUGGUUUUAAAAUGUGUUAAAAAGUUUAAUUUUGGCUUGAAUUUUAUGGGUGUUACAAGUUGGUAUCAGAGCCUUGGUUUGAGUGAAUUGGAGGAACACUCGUGUGAAUCUAGUCUCAAAUUAGGGAAAGGAUUUUAAAAUGAAUUUUUAAAUGGUUUUCAAAAUAAGUAAAUGAGGAUGCAAGGUGUACGAUCAGUUAGAGCCAGUAAGUAGACCCCAAAAUACCAUAUAGUGAUUUGAUUAUGUGAUAUGUUAGAAUAGCAUGCUAGUAUUAGGCUAGGGAUCUUCAGGAAUUGCAUGAUAGAAUUGCAUGAUUACAUGAUGCCUGCUAGACUAGGGUUUCCUUAUAUGAGAUUGACAUCAUUGUUGUGGUUACUUGUAUGCAUGACGACUGUAUAUAAUUAAGAUCUUAUAGCCUGAGAAUGUUUGAUUUGGCCUUGUGUUCUAUUCUUAUUGAUUUUGGCUUAGGGUAGGAUCGAAUAUUGUGACAUCCCCAAAAUCUCGGCCAGAAAAGACUGAUUUUCAUUCAUGCUUUUAAAAUAAUUUCAGAGUAAAUCCUUUUGAUUUGAAGGAGUUGCGGAAUUUUUUCCCAAAAGCAAAACAUGAUAAAACAAUGUUUACCAAAGCAUUUCAUAAAAGAAAUGUAUUUUCAUUAUAUAAUCAAAACUCGGGGUGUCAUGUUCCGAUACAGACCAAUAAGCAUAAACGAUAACAUUACAAGUCAUUCAACAAAUAUAUACAUAUACAGACUUGUAAACAAAACAACUUGAUGGUUCAUCCAUCUUAUGCCCUCGCGCCACUUCCUGUAAUACAAAUAAAACUGAGUGGGUCAGGCUUGGGAGCCUGGUGAGCAUAUAGGGUUUUCAACCCACAAUAAAUAAUUAAAUUUAAUUUCCACCAACCAACAAUAACCCAAUUACCUAUUCCCGUUAUUCUCACUUUAUGUCCCUAAGACAACUAACAUAAGGGACCUAGUCUAAGAAUAUUUCAUCGGGGCGACAACACAUGCUUCGGGGGUUCCUCAGCAAUAUAAGUCAAAUAAGGCAACCAUGAGGGGGAUGGAGUACAGCGAAUGAACACCCAAGUUCAUUAACACCUACAGGUGGCGAACCUGCUAAUGUUCCACAAGACUGUCUAGAAAAGUCCGUGGUCGUCAUCUAAACUCCGCUAGAUGACUAAAUCAAACAACAACGAGGCCUCUCAUCUGUUUAUUACACACCAACUAUCUACCCAUGUUCUACCCAACAUAUUAGUAGAUAAAAAUAUACAUUUUUAUACAUAGUUUAAAAACCUGUAUAGCAUGCUUUAAUCAAUACAUAUUCCACAUAACAGAUGAGGCACACACACACAUAACACGUAUUUCAUAGAGAAUAAAUCAUAUCUAUGAGAUAGAAGAAAGUGAAUACACAUUCACACAUAUAAACAACAAUAUACUUAAUACACUCAAACCAUACUUGUAUUAUUAUCGUGUUUAUGAAAGGUAGUAUACACUCACUUGAUCAGAAGAUGAUCGGACAGCACUACGACUUGCAGAAGUAGUAAUCCUCAGCAGAUCUGGAAGAUCUUCACAAAAAUCGAACUUUUCGCGGGCAGAGCUUCGGCUCGGGAAUCGCACUUCUCGGGAUCUUCGGGAUCUCGGGACUUGCUUCGGGGCUCGAGAAUAAUAACAGGGCUUCGGGGUAUUUAUGGCACGCAAAUCGAUGCAAAACGGGAGAGAGAAGAGAGAAAAGAGCAAAAGAACUCGGCUGCCCUCACAUCCUAUUUAUAGGAGGCUGGAGCCUUGGAGUACUCGGGGCGUACUGCUCCGAAACGUCACUGCUUACGUAUCCGAAGUGCUCGAGUGCGAGUGUCGACAUACCUCGGUGUACGCGAGGCGUACUUUGGAUGAGUCUGAUGACUCCUCUUCGGAUAAUGCCGGAUUUCCAAUUAAAUUUAAAUACAAAAUAUUUAAUAAACUUCGGAAAUUCAUAUCUUCUUCAUACGAACUCUGUUUUCGACGUUCUUUAUAUCCACGCGAAGGUGAGACUACGCUCUACAACUUUCGUUUAGACUCCGUCGGCUAAUUUUAACUUUAUUUUUAUUAUUUAUUUUUAAUAGGCCGGGACAGAAAAACUUCGUUAUAAAUUCAUAACUUCUUCGUUUGACGUCCGUUCUCGCCUAACUUUUCAUCGCUUCGAUACCAACAACGAGACCUUCGAUCCUCGUUUAGAUUGCUUCGGCUAAAAACCGCUCGAUCUCAAAUCGAGUAUUUCAGGCUGCAUACCGCUAAGCCGAAACUUCGAUAAAUCAUAACUUCCUCAUACGAAGUCAGAUUUGGGCACUCUAUAUAUAUUCGGAAACCUCGUUUCAACUACUACAACAUUAACCAAAGAUAUCAAGUUUAUUUUACACUUAAAUUUUGACGCUUAUUUUUAUUCUUAAUUAAUCAAACCACAUAAUUAAGCAAUUAAGCACAAAACACAUAAUACUCAAUUAAUAAAAUCUUAUUAUUUCAAAACGGGUUACAAAAAUUAACCUAGACCAUUGCAUUGCUAAAAAUGGCAAGCCCGGAAACACAGGCGUUACAAAUAUUCAAAAGUCUAUGGGGUCCAGCGUUAUGUAUGGCUAGCAAACACUAGUGCUGCAAGGUUGAUGGAAGUUUUAUGGAUGGGUGGGUUGUGAGAGGCCGAGAGGCCAGUUAUGAGAUAUUUAGCAUUUCUCUAGGAGUGAGGAUUGAGUGCUCGCUAUGUUUAUGUAUAUUGUUAGGGUGUUGUGAUGAUACUUGAGACAAAUAUGGGUAGGUGUGGAAGGUAGUAUGCGCCCGUACUACUGAAAGCACGGGACCCAUACGCGUAGCAAGGAAGUCACAACCCCUAGGGUUUGGUUGGGAAUUAGCUCUUUGUCAUUAUAUGGGUUAUCAGAGACCUUUCUGGUGUGUUACCAGAAAGGUGGUUACGAGACGUCUUGAGAGUGGAUUUGAGUUAGGAUCGGGAGCUGGCAGCCAGGAUAGACCAGCAUUGUCAGUGGAUCGUGUCGGUGAGAUCAUCCGAGAGGAGGUGAUCGGGAUUUAUCUGGGGUCAGAUUUCGGAGAUAUUUGGGUCUAUCAAGACCGCCAUGGUUGAAUACCUUGACGAGCGCUAUGUAGCCAUUGUUGAGACGGCUGCCGCAACAGCUUCAACAACUGUAACAACAGCAGGGGAGGAGCUGGUCGAGCUUUUCAGUAUUGUGACUUGUUACUCGGACAUAUUCUGAUGAGCAGAGGGCUACAAUUAUCUUGGAUCAGGAAGAUGAUUUGUACUCGUUAUAUUUUCGCGGGUGAGCGGGAGAGGAUAACACCUUAGUUUCUAGAUUUGAGGCUCGGGGGUUUUGAUCGAGGCCGGAUGUGAGUCGCGGGGACUCCGGAAAGGAGUCAUGAUUGUGUUCAACUGGAGUUAUGCAACUGGAAUUAAAAAUGGUUUAUUGAUAGGAUUGGAAUGUCUUUUUCUAGGGCAAGUAUUAUGCCUUUUCAGUUUACGAGCUCGAAGGAUUAAGCAGGCUUGUGAUCCCAGGAUCAGGUUGUAUUCUAACUCGGGGUUAGUUGGUUUCCGGGAUUGGCGACCGUGGUUUAGCAUGGGUAAGCGCAUGUGGGUCGAUGUGGCAUAAGUAUUUUAGAGGUCCAUUUCGCCUUGGAUCUCCUGUAUCGGACGGUAAGGACUGAUUGUGUGAUCUAUUGCACUUUUGGGAUCAUAGACUAUGUCUUGGGAGUAGUUGUAGCAUGGUUUAGGGCAAAUGUUGUUUCAGCUACUGCAGUUCAGCUGCGGAUGAUUGAGCUGGUGAGUGAGUCAGGGUAUGAGGUCCUAAAUGAUAUGAUUUCUAGAGCCGAGAGCGGGAGAUUUGUUGGAGCACCUUGGGAAGAAGGGUAUUAUAUGGGAGGUCUACGGGCAGGGUCCCACAUGAUGGUUAUUCAACAUUGUUAGGAUUCAGUGGUUUUAGUAUUGAUUGGCGGAGGAAAACACCAAAGGAUGUAGCUCGUUGUUGAGACAUUAGUUGGAGUAUCUAUCUUUGGACUUUAAGGUUUGGGAGUGGGAUCAUUCGAGCAUUGGGGACUGUUGGUGUCCCUGGGAUUCAGAAGGUGUUCAGCUAGUUGUUAGAAGUGUGUGAUCACUGGGGAUUGGCUGGUAAUGGAGCACUAAUUGGUAAGAGUUGGUUGUAUGUGGAUCAAUGGUUGGUAGUGAGAAAGAUUGGAAAUUCUCCAAUUUUCAUGUAUGGUGAAGACUUAGUCGAAUCUAAGUGGGGGAGAAUUGUCUCGUGAUAUAGAGGCAGGGGUGGCUUUGGAAAUAGGAUAAGUUUCGCAUCAUUGUCAUGAAGGAAGACAACCUAAGUGGCUGUUUGGUUUGUGGGUUGUGUGAAUUGGGAGUUCAGUAAAACUCCUGAGCAUGUGUAUCACGUUUUCCUGGUUAUUGAUAGCAGAAUUCGGGAAACCGGGUUGGAGUUCUAGUCAUGAAUGGUGUUUAGUUCGAGUAUUCGGCCGAGGGUUUGCUCGACUCUGAAGGUUUUGGAUUGAUAGGUUGAGGGUAUUGAUAGCUACCAGGACUGGGCAGUACAUUCAGCAUAGGUGUGCGGGUUAUUAGCAUAUGCGGUAGACACGCAGGUUAGGGAAUAGAGCAUGGAUUUCCGUGGGGACGGACGAUUAACAUGAGGCCUAGGAUUAGGCCGAGGUUAGAGUCCAAGAAAUAGAUUAGGUGUUCGGAACCUUAAGUGGGUGAGAACAGUCUGCAUGGGAAAGAUCACCAGGGGGUGGUCCAAGGAGAUGUUCAAUAGUUUAGAGUGGUCCAGAUGACUGAAGGCCUAGUGAGGCGGUCCAAGCAUGCUGAAUACUCUGUAUGUGUUUGUAGAUGUAUGUGUGGGUAUUGAGUAUGCUGCUAUGUUAUAUCAAUCAGUAGGUCUGUUCCCAAGUAUCGAACAUGUUGUUGGAGUAAGCUAAAGACUCCAAUAUAUUUUGGGUUGAUCGGGAGUUGUUAUUAGAAAUCGGAUAGAGUAUAGUGGAUCUUGGUGAUCUCAUCAGUUCGGAGUGUCUCAUGGGAUUAAUCUGUUUGGAUCAGGUAAUACUCUAGUUAGGUGACUGGGAGUAGAUCUGAAUGGGUAUUCGUCAGUUUUAGGAAGGCAUGGGAUUAGAAUGUUCUGUCGUUCAGGCUCUGGGAACCGGAUUAGACCUGGUUAAGCUAGUGAUAAGACUGUGGGAACGUCACUACAUUUAUGAGGUCAAGGAAGCAAUAGAUUGCUUAAGAUUGCUUGUGAUGUAAGGCUACCAUUAGUCAUAUAGAAAUUCCUUUUUAACCGUGGAUUUGGUAACGACAGGAUUUGACGCAUGGAUCCGAUUGGUUGGAUCAGGAGGUUGUUAGAGUCGCAGUGUCAUGGUAACUAGUGGCAACUAGUUCCAGGGAAGGAUUUCGUUCGGAGGUCGUGUGAGGCAACUAUGUGGGAGUCCUUUAGCUCCGCGACCGGCCCGGAACCCGGUAUUUCAGAUGAGUGGUACUCGGUUGUGAUGAAUUAGAGGAUUUUAGGUGGGAUGCAAGGAUAGGUCCUUGGAUUUGAAGUUAUGGGUUAGACCCGAGUUAUGUAUAUAAUGGUAUUCCAAUCUAGGGUAUUCCAUCGUUAGGAUGACUGAACCCUAUGAUUGAUUGGAUAUGGUGUGUUUGGUAUUCCAACCCAGUGGUUGAUUGGACUAAACACAUGCGUGAUACGAGGGUAUUCCAUCCUAGGGAUGACUAGACCCGUCGUAGGCAUGCCUGGUAUUCCAGACCGAGGUAGCUUGGGCCAGGUAUGAGUAUUUGUGCUUAUGAGCCGGUUAUUAUAUGUAUGUGGUUCGGGAACUAAAGGAUCACAGUUAGCAGUGUAGGGUUUGUGAUUCUAUUUUUUAGUGGGAACCUCAUAUUAUUUGAAGAUGAGUAGCCAGUUGGGAGUUAAGUGCAAUGCGUUCGACAAUGAUCCAGUGUGGGCAGUCUGUUAGGGAGCCAGACCAUCUCGAGACUUCAGAUUAACAAUUGAGUAAACGUGAUCAUAUUUCAAGGGAUUCGUUUAUUUUCAGGUUUUGGAACCCUACGAGGGUUGGUUACUGUUGCCUUGGAAAGUCUAGAUUUAUACUCGGGGUUGUGGUUCAAGUUGUUUGGAGUGUAAGGAAUGAGAAGAAACGAUUUCGAGGACGAAAUCAAAUUCAAGUGGGGGAGAGUUUUAACAUCCCAUUUAAAUAUAAUAAUUUAAUAAUAAACCCGAAACCCCGAGAAGCAAUUUUUAUUAUUAUCAUAUGUUAUUAUAGUCCAAAAUUUGGUAAUAAUUAUCUGGGAGUCGUUUUCGGGAAGCCAAAUGACAAGAUUUGAAUCUCCAAGGGCUAAAGUAUAAUUUUGGGAUUUAAUUUGUAAAGAUUUAUGGAAGCAGGGACUAAAUGGUAAGUUUUGGACCCAACUUGAAAAGGGAUUUGCGUAGGAAGGGCCAUUUGGUAACAGUUGGAUCAAAUUUGAAGGAAAAACAAGAUGGAGGGGCUGGUUCUGUCGUUAUGGGAAAAUGUUAUAAGGGAGUCGGGGUAUAAAACCCGCUACCCUCUCAAACCCUAACCCUAGAUCUNNNNNNNNNNNNNNNNNNNNNNNNNNNNNNNNNNNNNNNNNNNNNNNNNNNNNNNNNNNNNNNNNNNNNNNNNNNNNNNNNNNNNNNNNNNNNNNNNNNNNNNNNNNNNNNNNNNNNNNNNNNNNNNNNNNNNNNNNNNNNNNNNNNNNNNNNNNNNNNNNNNNNNNNNNNNNNNNNNNNNNNNNNNNNNNNNNNNNNNNNNNNNNNNNNNNNNNNNNNNNNNNNNNNNNNNNNNNNNNNNNNNNNNNNNNNNNNNNNNNNNNNNNNNNNNNNNNNNNNNNNNNNNNNNNNNNNNNNNNNNNNNNNNNNNNNNNNNNNNNNNNNNNNNNNNNNNNNNNNNNNNNNNNNNNNNNNNNNNNNNNNNNNNNNNNNNNNNNNNNNNNNNNNNNNNNNNNNNNNAAUGGCAUCUCUCUCUCUCUCUCUCUCUCUCUCUCUCUCCGUUCUGUUCGGGCCGCUGCUAGCGGUGGUCGCCGCCGAUAAUGGAGCUGCUAUCGGACUUCUGGUGUCACCGCCGCCAGGUGGGUGGCUGGGCUUAUCUCGCGAUCAGAAUAGUGUGUGUUUUGCGUGUGUGUCGUGUGUGUGAUUGCCUUGGCCGAAGUCACAAGAGGCAACCACCACCACCGUGAGGUGGUGGCUGCCACUCUCUACCACCGUUUGCUGCCACAAAGUGGUGGUGGGUGUAAUUAUGGGAAGUUUAUUUUGGGUUAUUGUGUGUAUUAUUGUAAUUGGUGCUUGAAAUAAUAAUAGAAAAAUCCAUAACCACCAUCAUGAGGUGGUGGCUUCCGCCUCCUGCCGCCACCGGCCGCCGUGUCGGGUGGCGGUGUGCUUUGCCUUGUUGUGUUGAUUCGUUUGGGAUGCAUGAAACCCUAGUAGGCCCAAUGGAGUCCUAAUGGGCCCAAGGAAACCCUAAUUGAGCUAAUAAAACCUUAAUGGGCCCAAUGAGGCCCAAAGUCACCUAAAAGCCCAACCAUUUGAUUAAUGGACUAGUAUUGGGUUGGAACCCUAAUUAGGGUUUGGAAAACCCUAAUGCCAUGAAACCCUAAUUUUGGCAAAUUAACCUAUGUCAAUAUUAGACUUAUUGGAUUAAGUCCUUAAUGGGUUAAGUAAGAAACACUUAACCCUAAUCAUCAUUUCAUGUGAAAACCCUAAUUUUGGGAUUAGGGGCUUGGACUUAUCGGGACCCACAUUUGGGCCAUUGGAAUGGAAUUGUGUAUUAAGCCUAAUCACACCAUAUGACUUAUUUAGUAAAGUAAGGGACUUAAUGGAUUAAGUCCUUAAUGGGUUAAGUGAGAAACANCCCUAUUUGUAUUUUAUGUGAAACCCUAAUUUCACUUGGGCCUUGAGUUGGGCCAUCCUAUAGGGUUUUGGUGGUUAGACUAUUGAUGGACCAUCCAAGAAGAAGUUAAUUGACCAAAGUAAUUAGAUGGGCCCAAUUUGGAAGAUUGGGCCAUAUGUUGGGCCUUGGCCCAUUACUUGACUUUUGGGCUUUUGGAGUGUGAGUUGGACUUUGGGCUUGGAACCUAAUUAUUAAUUGUGUAUUGUUUGAUUUUGACAGAUCGGAAAUCUGUCAAUCAGAAGCUGGAGUGUACCUGCGGGACUUCAAUAGUGCCAUGUGAGUUCUCCUCACUAUAUCAAUAGGGUCUAAGGCGCCAAGGCCGACCCUUUAUGGAUUGUAUUCAAAUUAUUGCAUGUCAUUCUUACUGAUUUAUAUCCUGGUAGUUAGGAUGGUGAUAUGCUAUGGUUUAGUGACCCGGUUGGGUCGGUAUCCUGGUAUAUAGGAUGAUGCUAUGUUAGUAACCUGUUAGGUCGGUAUCCUGGUAUAUAGGAUGAUGCUAUGUUAGUAACCUGUUAGGUCGAUAUCCUGGUUAUAGGAUUGUUGCCAUGCUUUGUGAUUUGUUAGAUCGGUUUGACUGUUAUAUAUAUACAUGCUAGUGUUAUAUGAUGUCUAUAUGCACAUGAUUGUCCUUGUUAUAGGAUGAUGCUAUGUUAGUGACCGGUUAGGUCUGUAUCCCCGUUAUUGGGAUGUUGCUAUGAUUGGUGAUCUGUUAGAUCGGUUUGACUAUUAUAUGAAAUGAGCUAGCGUAUGAUAUUUAUGUGCACAUGUUUGUUUGAUUGAGGGAUGGGUUGAGGCGGUCCUGCUUUGUGCUGUAGGCCAACAUACCGGCGAGCGGUCCGGAAAGGCUGUAGGCCCUGCGUGGCGGUCCAGAUGUGCCGAAGGCUCGAAGAGUAGUCCAGAUAGACUGAAGGCCUGUGAGGCGGUCCAGUAAGGCUGAUGACUCAUUAUGCAUGCUGUUAUGCAUUGGUUAUAUGAUAUGGUUAUGUUUGUAUGGCGUUGGUAUUUUGGGGAAUCUCACUAAGCUUCAGGCUUACAGUUGUUGAUUUUGUUUCAGGUACUUCGGAUGAUUGCAGGAAGGCGAAGGUGUGAUCGUGCACCUCCUCAUAUUUUCAUGAUUAAUUAUGGGAAUACUCUGAUGUCCAAAUUAUUUUGAAAACAACCUGUAAUAACUUAAUGGUUUUAAAAUGUGUUAAAAAGUUUAAAUUUGGCUUGAAUUUUAUGGGUGUUACAGUUGGACUCAAACAAGAGCUGUGUAAUAGAGUUAAAAUCUAAACUUCUAAAAAUAUUUAGUUCUCAUAAUAUGUAACUUAGCAAAUUCGUUUACUAGUUAGAUGAAGCUAGUUAGAACUCCUAAAAGCACGAAGCAAGCAACAUUCGAGUAUCAAGUAUCAGAACCAAGCAUAACCUAAUCAAGCCAUCCUAUCACUGACUGAUCAGUACUAGCAUGAUAGUUUACACGCUCAUACAACAUGCAUACAAAGACAUCUCUCCUAGCAUUCUAUCAUGACUGAGCAAAUCCUUAUCCCUAACUAGCAUGCGGUUCACAGAUACACAGAUCAAAGAAUAUCAAAUAAAAUGUAUGGGUAAUAUGGGAAAACUUACUUAAGCUCGACUGAUUGCAUGCACCACACCCUUUCUUAUUUUAGAAAAACUUUUUCUUCAAAUAUUUUUCUUUUGGAAAAACUUUACCAAAUCCUCAGUUUGAGUUUAGACACACCCGAGAGUGUUCCCAAAUCCCUCAAACCAAGACUUUGAUACCAACUUGUAACGUCCAAAAAAAUAUAGUCCAAAAUUUCUCUUAUUCUCAGGCCUCGCUUGUCCUUGGGCCUCGCCCGCUAUACACAUACAAUCUAUAUCACAUAAUCAUGCUAACACAUAUAAUGAUCAUAAACAAUAGCAUAUGCUCCAGUCCUUAGGCCUCGCCUAGCAUCGAGCCCCACCUGGUAUAUAUAGCAGCACAUAUCACAUGCAAGGGUCACACAGACUCCUAGCAUCCUAGGAUAAUCAAUAAGGGCCGACAUCGAUGCCUUAGACCCGCUAAAACCAGUGAGGAAACUCACCUCGAAUGCUAAAUCUCACUGAAAGAAAUCCGUAGCUACUACCCUGACUUCUCUCCGAGCUAUAAGUACAAAAUAAAACCCAAUUAACACUUGGGUUCCAAUCUAUAGACCAUAAUCCAUACUUGGUGAAACAUCUCAUUUUCAUAACAAAAAGUUUUCAUUUUUAUUAAGGUAAAACUUCCAGUUUGUUAAUCCAUUAAUUAAUUUAAACCGUUUAUUCCGAAUCAUAUUUGUUAAAAAUCAAAGUAUUGUAGAAACCAAAAUCUUCAAUGUUGUUGAUGAGUGUGUACAGUCCUGCCUUCGCCUUCCAACAAUAACUGAUGAUACUUGAAACCAUAAACAACUGGGUAAGCAUAAAGCUUAGUGACUUUCCCCAAAAAUACCAUGAUAUAAACAGCUGACAAAUAUAAUCAAACAUGUCGGCCCCAGUCAACCAUCUGGUUGGGAUACCCUAGGCCUAGUUAACCUCCGGGUCCAGUCAUCCUCGGGAUGGAAUACCCCAUGUUGGACUGUGUAACAUCCCGGAUCCCAGGUAUAAAUUUGAAGCUUUAAUGUUCACAUUUUUAGACCUACUCAACGAGUUGGUUCCCCCAACUCGUUGUGUAGAGAUUAGUCAGCCCGCGUGAACUUUAGGACCUACUCGACGAGUUGGAGGACCCAGCUAGACGAGUAGAGGUUGUGUUUGAAAACCCUAAUUUUCUCCUUACCACCUUUUGACGUCCAGAAGCAAACCCUAAUUGAGCUAACCCUAUUUUGAGUGUGUGUGUGUGUGUGUGAGGCUAAAAGUGUGUGUUUGGUGCAUUUCUUGAAGAGAUUUGAAGAUUUAGAAGCUUGGAACAAGAAGGGGAUUAUAGAUCCAACAUCUACACCGUUUCGGCAUUCAUUUGAAGGUAAAAAGGCAUUACCUUGAUCAUUUUCUUAGUAGAUAUCUUCAUUCAAGAGUUUAGGGCCAUUUAUAGCUUAUCCUUGAAGCAUUGCUGGUUUUGAGCAUGAUUUGAAGUUAUAACUUCAGAUCUGGAUUCCUCUAGGACCUCAUUGACAUAAAGACUUAAGCUUUAUGAAUAUUUGUCCCUUCUCCAUGACCUAAACCUCUUCCUAAGACUAUUUUUGAGUGGUUUAGCUUCUUGAAGCCUUGGAUGCAUGUAAAGUUAGCAACUUUACGUGGUAACUACACACUAGGAGGCUAGAUAUACAAUUUGGAGCCUUGGUUUAGCUUAAAACAUCUGAAUGAGAAAAGGACUGAAGGAACUCCACAAGUUGCUUAGUCAACUCGACGAGUUGAAUAAGGGUUUCCCAUUUCUGGAUGUUGAGUGAACUCGGCGAGUGGGUGAGACGACUCGACGAUUUGAUUAGAGUUUUCGGUCUCCUGGACACUAAAGAACUCGACGAUUUGACUCGAGUUUUCAAUUUUAUGGACUCUGAAGGAACUCGACGAGUUGCUAUAUGCACUCGACGAGUUGGCAUCAACAUGAACUGUUGACCUUGAUUAUUGACUUUGACUCUGACCAGGGUUUACCAACAUUGACUUCUAAGGGUAUUUUGGUAAUUUUGGAAUUUAUGGAAUUGGAUCGAUGGUGGUUGUAUGUGUUUGAGUUUGGAGCCAGACUUCGGAGUUUGACCUUUUCAGUUCAGCACUACUUGUGACGUGAGUUUUACUCGCUAUACUGACAGGAUCGAAGGCACCAAUGCCGACCCUUUCUUUUGGAUUGUUAUCAUGGUUAUUGCAUGAUGAUAUGCUUAGUGACUUGUUAGGUCAGUAUCCUGGUAUAUAGGAUGUUGCUAUGAUUAGUGAUCUGUUAGAUCGAUUUGACUGUUUGUACAUGCUAGCUAGCGUUUGAUAUAUAUAUAUAUAUAUAUAAAUUAACAUGAGAGACAAACUGUAAGUUCUGCCACUAAUUNGAUUGUCUGGUUGGGGUUCGGUUGAGGUGGACCUGCUUUGUGUUGUAGGACAACAUACCCAGGGUGGCUCAGAUAGACUGCAGGCCUAAUAGGGCAUAUCAGUUAGAUCGAAGGCCCGGAGAAUGGUCCAGACAGGCUAAAGGUUCGAUAGGGUGGACCAAACAUGUUGAAGGUUCUUUGAGUAGGCAAGAUAGACUGAAGGCUUGGUGAGGGCGGUCCAGUCAUUCUGUAGACUCUAUAUGCAUGUUGUUUGUUAUGAUAUGAUUAUGGUUUCUAUGGCGUUGGUAUUUUGGCAGAACUCGCUAAGCUUCGGGCUUACAGUUUUAGAUUUCGUUUCAGGUACUUCAGAUGAUCGCGGGAAGGCGAAGGCGUGAUCAUGCACCUCCUCGCAUUUUAUGAUUUUGAUUUCUAGGAUACUCUAAUAUGAAACUAUUUUGAAAACAUUUUACAAUAAAUAAUGAUUUUAGAUGUUUGAAAAAGUUAAAUUUUUUUUUUGAAAUUUAUGGAUGUUACAAGUUGGUAUCAAAGCCUUAGUUUGAGUGAAUUGGAGGAACACUCGUGUGAAUCCAGUCUCAAACUAAGGAAAAAGGUUUUCAAAAUGAUUUUCAAAGGGUUUUCAAAAUACUAAAGGAGGAUGCAGAGUGUACGAUUAGCCAGAGCCAGUAAGUAGACCUCAAAAUACCAUAUGGAUAUUUGAUAUUAUGAUAUGUUAGAACAGCAUGCUAGCGAUAAGUUAGGGAUCUUCAGGAAUUGCGCAAUAGAAUUGCCUGAUUAUAUGAUGCCUGGUAGCCUAGGGUUUUCCUUAUAUGAAAUUGACAUCAUUGCUGUAGUAGCUUAGUGUAUGCAUCAUAGUUGUACAUAAUUAAAAUUUUAUAGCCUAAGAAGGUUUGGUUUGGCCUUAUUUCCUAUUCUUGUUUGAUGAAGGGCUUAGGGUAGGAUCAUAUAUUCGAAUGUAUAUAUGGUCUAGCGUUAUGUAUGACUAGCAUACACGAGUGCUGAAGGGUUUGUGGAAGUUUCAUGGAUAGGUUGUGCGGGGUCAGUCGGCCAGUUAUGAGAUGUUUAUCCAUCCUCUAGGAGUGAUGAUUGAGUGCACUCCAUGUUUAUGCAUAUGAUUAGGGCAUUAUGAUGAUACUUGAGACAAAUAUGUGUAGGUGUGGAAGGUAGUAUGGGCCCGUACUACUAAAAGCAUAGGACUCAUACGCGUAGCAAGGAAUUCAACAACACCUAGGGUUUUGAUGGAAGUUGGUUCGCAGAUUAUUGUAUGGAAUGUCUAAUAUCUCCUUAGUGUAUUUUCAGCAUGGUGGUUAUGAGGCAAUUUGUGAGUGGAUCCUGAUCAGGAUCAUGAGAUGGCGGUCAGGGUAGACCAGCAGAACUUGAGACUAUUGAUCAGAUGAGGCCAGACGAGCUGGACACCAGGAUUCGAGAAAUCCUGCAUGAUGAGGUUGCUACACUGUGCCGGGCGUGGUUGCCGAAGAUGUUUGGGUCUAUCAAGACCACUAUGGUCAAGUACUUUGAUAAGCAUUAUGCAUCCCUUACUGAGACGGUUGCCGCUGCAGCCUCCGCAACUAUAGCAGCCGCUGGUGGUGGGACCAGUCGGGCUUUUCAUUAUCAGGACUUCGAUAACACGAAGCCCUGACUUUUGAUGGGACUCAGGACCCGAUCAUAGCCAUGUGGUGGCUAACUGAUGUGGAGGGAUGUUUCUUUACAUGCUAAUCUCCUGCUGACCAGAAGGUCAAGUGUGAUUUAAACCUGCUGAGGUUCGGAGAAAAGGACUGGUGGAGGUUGAUGACUGGGUCAUAUUUUGAUGAGCAGAGUGUUAUGGUUACUUGGAAGCAGUUCAAGAAUAUGUUUUGCGCUCGCUACAUUCCGCGGGUUGAGUGGGAACGACUGGCACAGGAGUUUCUGGAUUUGAGAUAGGGUUUAGAGUCGAUGACGAAGAUCACCCGUAUGUUUACUGAGAGGGUGAUGUUUUGCCUGGAGUUUGCUUCCUAGCAGGGUCUAAUGACACGUUAUCUGAGCAUACUCAAGACCGACAGCCGACAUUGUUGGAAUAGUGUCUAAGCCCGUAAGUAUAUUUGGUAUGUACUUGACCUGGUUGAGCAUGGUCCUUUUGGGUUGCCUUCACCAAAGAAACUUGACAAGGUAAUUUAAGGAGAGAGAGAGAGAGAGAGAGAGGAUAUUAUGGUUUAUUAAUAUAUUAUAAUAAUAAUAUAUUAAAGGAGCAAUCAUAUUUAUUUAAUUAGUAUUAGUCAUAAAUUAGUUACGAAUUAAUUUGGUGACUAAACGAGAUUAAUUAAAUAAAGCGGCAUAAACUGUCAAAUGUGUGAUAGUUGAGUUUUGGUCUUGGAAACCUAAUGGACUAAGGGGGAAUGAAAUUAUGAUGAAGGAUCAUCAUAUUUUCAUCCAAGGCCCUAUUCUAGAAGGUUCCUUGGGUUGCUUGGUCAUUAAGCUGUCCAUUAGGGUUUAGACUGAAACCCUAGCAGCCUACAGUAUAAAUAAGACCCCUAGCCUUCAAUUUUCGGCCACUUGCUUCCCAAGAGAAACCCUAGGCCGAAAUUAAGCAUCCUCCCUCCUCUCUCAUAGUUGCCUUCUUUCUUGUGGUAUUUGUAAGCCAUUAGAGGAGUUACAAUUGUGACUCUAAGCUCCAAGAAAGAAGAUUCAAGCUUCCAUUGAAGAGGUAAACAUCUAGAUCUGAUGUUAUAUGUUAAUUUCGAAAUUUAUGUAUGCUAGAUUAGGGUUUGUAAGUCUUGGAUUCACUGCAUGUAUAAUAGAGAAACCUAGAUCCAAGCAUUAGGGUUUGUAUGAACACAUAUGAUUGUUCUUAUGUAUAAAACCCAUCAGUGGUAGUAGAGCCUUGAUUGGUUUCUGUUGUAUGUGAUGUAAUUGUUGCGUUUCUGCUGAAAAUCAUUUUUCUGGCCUCUGCCCGACUCAAUCGGCGAGUUGUCUCAACUCGGCGAGUCUAGGACUGACUCGGCGAGUUCGGGAGUCAGACAGAGCAUAUCUUGGGAUUUUCUUGUUGUUUUGCUAUAGGAUAAAUUCCAAAAAUCGUUUUUUGAUAAUAAUAUCCGAAUUUUAUUGUAUGCAAAUGAUUAUCCUUACCAAAACAAAAGAUAAUCUCAAAUCUUUUGAAUAAUAGUUUCUUUAUAUGAUAAAUAUGCAUUAUUUAAAUUAUUUGGUAAUUAUCUUGUGACUAAAAUUAGAUUAGGUUAAAUAUUGAUAAUCAUAAAAUUAAUUGUUUAAUUAAUAUUAUUUGUUAUUUGAUCCCUUGUGUUUUGAAAAGUUCAAAACUUGUCCUCAAGUUUUGAAAUUUAAAUUUUAUGAUUAAAAGUUUAAUUUUGAAUGAUUUAACUUUCAAGCCCUUAGAAUUUUACAAGUUUAAAAUUCAACCCUAUACUAUUAUAUUAUUACAAGAUUAAUUAAUAUAUAUGUAUAACUUAAAGUGCUAGUCUUACCGUUAGUAGGCCUCAUUCACGAAGCCGAUCUAUAAGGGGGGGUAAAAUGUUAUGGCCUAUAAAAUAGUCGUUUAAUGGGUAUCCACUCUUACCCAUCGCUUCCUUGAUUGGUGGAGGGUCGUUAGCCGAACGGGUAGGAUAGGGCAAUUCUCUCCUCGUUAAAAGUAUAAUGAAUGAUACAAAGUAACUACAAUGUUUUUACAAUUUUCCAAUCUUAGUUACUUUAGGGUAAAAUGUGAAAAUGAUGCUAAUCCUUAGAAUUACACUUUGUACCCUUGCCAAACGUUAGUGGAGCGUGUGUGGUUAACCGACACACUAAUUUGGGAUUGACAUUGGUAGCAAAGGGUGCCUUGAUGUUUGUCGUAGAUCAAUGGAGCGUGUGUGGUUUACCGGCACAUUGAUUAGGUGAUAGAGACAUUGAGUGCACCAUGUUGAUUCACAUGGUUAUUCACACCUUGUUUGUGAUCCUCGGUAUCCCAGUCACAAACUUGAAGGGCAUAUCGAGAUUUAAACAUGCCAUUGAAAAGUUCAAUGAAUCUCAAAAGAAUCUAGGAGUUUUCAAAUACGUUUAAAACUUAAAUUCUUUUCGCUUAUCUUGGUGGAAAUUAGUGAAUCUUCAUUCACUUACCUUCAAAUUAUUUGCAUUUAGAUUAUGGCAUCCGUUUUGUAAGGUGUGAAUAAUGUUGUUGGAUCCUAGCCCUAAUUUUUCAUUUGGGUGUUUAAUUGGGGAUUCAUUUCUAAUCAAACUUUGUUCCUUUCUUUUUUCAAAUGUCUGCUAACAACAACAACAACGCUUCUGGGUCAUUCUCGCUGAUGAACCUAUGUCAAAAGGUGACAUUUGAUGGGUCAAAUAUCAACGAGUGGAUGAGAUACAUUCGUAUGAUCACUCGCUACAAGGACAAAGAAUAUGUCCUCGAUGAGAAGCUUGAAAAGAUCAUCCCAGAUGUUGCUACUCCUGAAGAGGUGGCCGCCUUUGAGUCCCACGAGCGUGAUGCUACGAAAGUUCAUUGCAUCAUGCUGGCCACCAUGAAUCUCGAACUCCAAAAUUCCUAUGAGGACAUGUAUCCAUAUGAAAUGCAUCAAGAUUUGCUGGACAGGUACCACCCAAGCGCAAAGCAAGAGCGAUAUGAGAUCAUUACUAACAUGAUCACCACUAAGAUGGGGAGUGGAGAGUCCCUAACCUCUAAUUUGCAGAAAAUGCAGAGGUAUGUUGAUCGUCUUCUCAAACUUAAUGUUAAUUUUGAUGAGGAUUUGGCUAUUGACAUCAUCCUCCAAUCCUUGCCUUCCUGCUACAACCAGUUCAGAAUGACCUACCACAUGAAUAAGGAAGAGGUCUCCUUGAGUCAGCUUCAAGGACUGCUGAGAGCAACCUCAAGGAAAAAUCUGUUGCAUCAUCCCUUGUUGUGGCUGCUCCUGUGUUGGCAAUUGGCCAAUGGAAGGGAAAGAAGAGGAAGGCUCCUCCAAAGAGCCACGAAAAUGGAAAGUCCCGUGAUGGUUCUUCCUCUAGUGGGACCAAAGUAGGUUCUGCUAAACCCUCCUUUGACCCUAAGGAAGCAGAGUGCUUCUAUUGCCAUGAGAAGGGCCACUAGAAAUGAAGUUGCCCUAAAUAUCUACAGGACAUUAAGGAUGGGAAGAUAAAGCCCAGCUUUGCAGGUAUGUAUUCUAUUAAAUCUAACAACUCAUCACUUGCUACUUCAUGGGUUCUUGAUACAGGAUGUGGUUUCCACAUUUGUUCUAUUUUGCGGGGACUAAGAAGAAGUAGGGAGGUGGAGCAUGGGAAAAUAAACUUGAUUAUGGGAAACAGAAGAUCGUCGCCUGUGACCAGAGUCGGAGUUUAUUUGUUAGUGUUGAGUAAUGGGUUAGGAUUAGAUUCAAAUAAUUGUUGCUAUUCGCCAGAUAUGGCAAAGAACAUCAUUUAUUUUCAUGGAUUAUAUAGACAUGGUUUCAGAUAUUCAUUUGAUAAUAGUAAUGGUUCUAUUAAUGUUUAUUUGAAUGGUGUUUUUUAUUUCAAUGCAUUUCCUUGUAAUGGAAUAUAUGAAUCUGUGUUGGUUGUAGACAAUUUAGGAAAUGAUGUGUUGAAUAUUGAUUCGUCUAAUAGUCUAGACAAAGCAUGCUUGUGGCAUUGUCGCCUUGGCCAUGUCAACAAGAAACGCAUAGCCCAACUCCAAAAGGAUAGAGUGUUGGAGUCAUUCGACCUUAGGGAUGAUAACGUGUGUGAAUCUUGUUUACUUGGGAAGAUGACCAAGUCACCCUUUACCGGCACUUAUGAAAGGGGUGAGGGACUAUUGGAUCUCAUACACACCGAUGUGUGUGGGCCCUUUAGAUCCACCAUAAGGGAUGCUUGCCGCUUUUACGUGACUUUUACGAAUGAUUAUAGCAGAUAUGGAUAUAUCUACUUAAUCAAGCAAAAGUCAGAAACCUUUGAAAAGUUCAAAGAGUUUAAGAAUGAAGUGGAGAAUCAGUUGGGUAGGAAAAUCAAGAUGCUUCCGUCAGACCGAGGAGGAGAGUACCUAAGUCUUGAGUUUCACGACUAUCUAAAGGAAUGCGGAAUCGUUUCACAAUUGACGCCUCUGAGAACGCCACAAUUGAAUGGUGUGGCUAAAAGAUGUAAUCGGACCUUGUUGGACAUGGUUCGUUCUAUGACGAGUCGGGCUUCGUUACCAAUAACUUUCUUGGGGUAUUCCUUAGAGACUGCCACCCAUAUCCUUAACCUAGUUCCCACCAAGAAGGUUGCCAAAACACCUCACGAGAUGUGGACAGGGAAAGCUCCCUCGUUGGCACAUAUCAAGGUUUGGGGUUGCGAGGCUUUCGUAAGAUGAGAGACUCACGACAAGCUUGAACCUCAUAGUGAGAAGUGUUAUUUAAUCGGCUAUCCACAUAAGUCUUUUGGCUAUCUCUUCUACAGACCGAGUGACAAUGUUGUCUUCGUUGCGAGAAGAGGGGUUUUCCGAGAAAGAGAACUCAUAAGCCAAGAGGACAGUGGGAGGAAAAUUGAUCUUGAAGAGAUUCAAGAGCAAAGCGAUGAAGGAACUUCUAACACUAGCACUCAACCAGAGGAGGAAACUCCUGUUGAGCCAAUUGACGAGUCUUUACCUCAUAGACGUUCUAGUAGGGUUAGUGUUCAACCCCAGUUUUAUGGUUUUCAUAUUACUAUUGAAGGGGAUACGUUUAUUAGUGAUGAAAAAUUAAUAAAUUUGGACGAACCUAACAGCUACAAGGAAGCCAUGGCAGGCCCGCAGUCUGCUAAAAGGNAGUCCAUGUACGACAACCAAGUUUGGAAUUUGGUUGACAAUGUGCCGGGUCGUAAGACAGUCGGGUGCAAGUGGAUCUUCAAGAAGAAGACAAACAUGGGUGGGAAUGUGCACACUUAUAAAGCACGAUUGGUUGCGAAGGGCUUUACUCAAACUACUGGAGUUGACUAUGAUGAGACCUUCUCACCAGUUGCGAAGAUAAAGUCUAUUAGGGUAAUGCUCGCAAUAGUUGCGUUUCAUGAUUAUGAAAUAUGCCAGAUGGACAUAAAAACCACUUUUCUUAAUGGAAAGUUGGCUAAGGAUGUUUACAUGAAUCAGAAUAUGCCAGAUGGACAUAAAAACCGCUUUUCUUAAUGGAAAGUUGGCUAAGGAUGUUUACAUGAAUCAGCCAGAGGGUUUUGUCGAUGCGAAGAAUCCAAAUAGAGUGUGUAAGCUUGAGAAAUUCAUUUAUGGAUUAAAGCAAGCGUCUCGCAGAUGGAAUAUUUGUUUUGACGAGAAAGUCAAAGAGUUUGGAUUUCUGCGAAGCGAAGAUGAAUCUUGUGUAUAUGUUAAAGCCAGUGGGAGUAUAGUGAGCUUCCUCGUAUUGUAUGUUGAUGGCAUACUACUCAUAGGAAACGACGUCCCAACCUUGUAGGAGGUCAAGUCCUGGCUUGGGAAGUAUUUCGCUAUAAAGGACCUCGGAGAGGCUGCAUAUAUUCUGGGAAUAAGGAUAGUAAGAAAUAGAAGUAAGAGACUGAUAGGACUCAGUCAGGAUAGACACUUGGAUAAGGUACUAAAGCGUUUUAGUAUGGAAAAUUCCAAGAAAGGGGAGUUGCCAAUCCAAAGCAAUGCCAAGUUGAAUAAGACUUAAUGCCCGAGUACAGAGGAAGAAAUAUCUGAUAUGAGUCGAGUACCUUACGCUUCCACAGUUGGCUCGAUCAUGUAUGCCAUGACUUGUACUCGCCUUGAUGUGGCGUUCGCUUUGAGCAUGGUCAGCAGAUAUCAGGGAAACCCUGGUAGAGCCCAUUAGACUGCAAUUAAGAAUAUUCUUAAGUACCUUCGGAGGAACAAUGAAUGGUUUCUAGUCCUCGGUAGGAGUUAUGACUUAAGGGUACGAGGGUACAGUGACGCUAGUUUUCAGACGGAUUGGGAUAAUUACCGGUCGCAGUCAGGCUGGGUCUUUACCCUUAACGAAGGAGAAGUAACUUGGAAAAGUUCCAAGUAGGAGAUUGUGGCUGAUUCAAUGUGUGAAACGGAGUACAUUGCAGCAAGUGAAGCAUCAAAAGAGGCAAUGUGGUUGAAGAACUUCAUUGGAGACCUUGGAGUUGUUCCAUCCAUAAAGGAGCUCGUAGAUAUUUUCUGUGAUAAUGAAGGAGUGGUUGCCUUAACCAAGGAACCAAGGGAUCACGGUAGAUCCAGGCAUAUCGACAGAAAAUACCAUUUUAUUAGACAGCGGGUAGAAGAGGGACUCCUCAUAGUGAAGAGGGUAUCGUCAGAAGAUAACCCAGCAGAUCCCCUUACAAAGGGACUGAGCAGGGUUAAGCACUUGCAGCACGCUAGGAGCAUUGGGCCGAAGGACGAUAUGAGUUUGGAUUAGAUAGAUAGGAAACGUGUAAUAGAUAAUUUGUACUUGACAUUUGAUAUAAAUAAAGGUGUUUAUUUAAAUAAUAAGGUUACUAUCUUGUGUUGGUUAUUUAUCUAUUGUUUCAGUUUUGCAUGUUUUGACUUCCUGAAUAAUAAGAUUAUUCAAACGAUCCACAGUCAUUCAUAUGUUGGAAGUAGAUAUGAAAGAAGACUGUCAUGAAUCUGUUUGUAGAUUGUCUAAAAGGUUUUAGACAUAGCAAUAGUUUGUUGCAAAGUUCAUGAGUUCUUAUGAAUGCUGAUUUGAGCAUUAGAAUAAACCUGCGAUUGCUGGUAUCACUUCGUGGUAUUUUACCUCGGGUGAUCGCAAAGCGAUAAUAUCUUAUAGUCUUAAAACUUAGAGAUAUGAUUAUUGUUUGUUGGUUGGUUGUCCAUUGAUGAAGUGUAAACGCAUUAGCAACUUGAUGUUAUAAAACACAUUGGUGUGCAUGAUUUAAUUAGUAAAUAGUAAAUGCAUAUGAGUCAAAGUUAAUAUGUUCCUUUUCUUCUAAGAGAAUAAAGGUGAUAUUUUGGCCACUCAAUGAUUUGGUUGGAAUUAUGUGUCGGGCCCGGUCAGAACAAAGUUGAUGUGUUCAACUGAGUUCUAUGUCGAACGAAUCAGAGAUCGAGAAACAAAGUGUUGAACAAUUAGUAUUGUAAGCAUGAUAUCUAGAACAGAGGAUUCUACGAUCCCUUAUCUAAAGGACAAGUUACUGAUCAGAGUUGACAGCGGCGUAUAAGAGCUACGAUUGCUAAUCGGAUCCUGAAGUCAUAUGUGAGAUAUAGUUACGAGACUUAUCCAAGUGGGAGACUGUUGGAAUGGUGUCUAAGCCCGUAACUAUAUUUGGUAUGUACUUGACCCGGUCGAGCAUGGUCCUUUUGGGUUGCCUUCACCAAAGCAACUUGACAAGGUAAUUUAAGGAAAGAGAGAGGAUAUUAUGGUUUAUUAAUAUAUUAUAAGAAUAAUAUAUUAAAGGAGAAAUCAUAUUUAUUUAAUUAGUAUUAGUCAUAAAUUAAUUAGGAAUUAAUUUAGUGACUAAAAGAGAUUAAUUAAAUAAAGGGGUGUAAACUGUCAAAUGCGUGAUAGUUGAGUUUUGGGCUUGGAAACCUAAUCGACUAAGGGGGAACGAAAUUAUGAUGAAGGAUCAUCAUAUUUUUGUCCAAGGCCCUAUUCCAGAAGGUUCCUUGGGCUGCUUGGUCAUUAAGCUGUCCAUUAGGGUUUAGACUGAAACCCUAGCAGCCUACAGUAUAAAUAAGACCCCUAGCCUUCAAUUUUCGGCCACUUGCUUCCCAAGAGAAACCCUAGGCCGAAAUUAAGCAUCCUCCCUCCUCUCUCAUAGUUUCCUUCUUGCUUGUGGUGUUUGUGAGCCAUUAGAAGAGUUACAAUUGUGACUCUAAGCUCCAAGAAAGAAGAUUCAAGCUUCCAUUGAAGAGGUAAACAUCUAGAUCUGAUGUUAUAUGUUAAUUUUGAAAUUUAUGUAUGCUAGAUUAGGGUUUGUAAGUUUUGGAUUCAUUACAUGUACAAUAGAGAAACCUAGAUCCAUGCAUUAGGGUUUGUAUGAGCACAUAGGAUUGUUCUUAUGCAUAAAUCCCAUCACUAAUGACACGUUAUCUGACCAUACUCAAGACUGACAUACGACAUUGUUGCUAACCAGCGUUGUGAUACAUUGUUGGAGUUACAGGAGGCCACUAGGUGGCAUGAGCUGGAGAUUGAGUUACAGUGAACAUAGGCAGGCCCCGAUGCAGUCACAGCGUGUGCCAAAACGGCCCAAGACCGCUGAUUCUAGGUCUGGGGGCCAGCACGGCCACACUUGUGGGAAGUGCAGGAAUGGUCAUUCGGGAGUUUAUAGAUCUGGGAGUGCAUACCGCAAAUGCGGAAAACAGGGGCACUUUGUGAUGGAUUACCGCCAGCCAGCCCCGGUUCAGGAUAUAAGGAUCUGCUAUAACUGCGAUCAGGUUGGUCAGGUGAAGACCAACUAUCCAUUACUCACUGCCAAGCCGGUGCAGGCUCCAUCGUCGGCUACACCAAGGAUUACUGAUGGGAGUCAGGGUAGAGUAGAGCAUCUGAAGGCUCGGGGAUGCGCCUUUCAACUUACAGUCGAGGAGGCCAGGACUACACCAGAUGUGGUUACUGGUACAUUUUUAGUGAACUCCUUACCUGCUUUGGUAUUAUUUGACUUGGGGGCGAGUCAGUCGUUUGUCUCUUGACCGUUCAGUAGGGAGUUCGGUUUGCAUGUAGGAGAGCUAGAGUGUCCAUUGCAAGUCUCUAUCGCCAACGAACACAGGAUUUCUGCUUCUUCGGUCUAUUGGGAUUGCGUUCUGGAGGUCUUCGAGGUAUCCUUCUCGAUAGAUUUGAUUCUGAUUCCCAUAGGGGAUGUGAGUGUGAUUGUGGGUAUUGACUAGUUGAGUAGCUUUGGUGCCAUUAUCGACUAUGAGGGUCAACGGGUGGUAGUUCGAACCCCAAGUGGGGGAGAACUCCUUAUAUACGGCGAGGGCACCAGAUUGUGUUCAGGGUUUUGCUUAGCUGUCAGGGCUCGACAGUAUAUUCAACACGGGGUGUGCGGGUUACUUGGCAUAUGUAGUGGAUACGCGAGUCAGGGACCAGGUUUCAGUGCCGGACGUUCUGGUUGUUAAAGAGUUCACGAAUGUGUUUUUGGAGGAGUUACCCGGAUUGCCUUCGGAGAGGCAGGUCGAGUUCAGGAUCGACCUAGUGCCAGGUGCGCCCCUAUCAACAAUGCGCCGUACCAUCUGGCACCACCCAAGAUGCAGAAUCUGUCAUCUCAGUUGCAGGAACUGCUGGGAAAGCAGUUCAUCCAUCCGAGCAGUUCUCCGUGGGUAGCACCGAUUACCUUUGUAGGAAGAAAGAUUGUUCACACCGGAUGUGCAUUGAUUAUAGGUAGUUGAACAAGUUAACGGUAAAGAACCGUUAUCUAAUCCCGAGGAUAGAUGACCUCUUUGAUCAGUUGCGGGGAGCAUCUUGCUUCUCUAAGAUAGACCUGAGGUCCGGAUACCAUCAGAUCGGGGUUAGGGAGGAGGAUGUGGAGAAGACCACGUUCCGGACUCGAUAUGGACAUUACGAGUUCGUGGUGAUGCCGUUUGCGCUCACCAACGUGCCGACAAUACUUAUAGACUUGAUGAAUCAGGUGUGCAGACUGAUGCUCGAUCGCUCGGUCAUUAUGUUUAUAGAUGACAUCUUGGUGUAUUCCAAGACCAGGGAGCAGCACGAAAAGCAUCUUUAUGAGCUAUUGUGAGCUUUGAGACAACAACGGCUGUAAGCCAAGUUCUCGAAGUGUGAGUUUUGCUUACGAGAGGUUCAGUUCCAUGGAAAUCUCGUUAACCAGGAGGGGAUUUCGGCUAACCCGGCUAAGAUCGUAGUGGUUAUGCAUUGGGAGGCUCCCAGAUCUCCCUCAUAUAUUAUGAGCUUCUUGGGAUUGGCAGGGUACUAUGGAAGAUUCAUACAUGAUAUCUCCAAGAUGGUAGUAUGUCAGAACUAGCAUUUUAGAGCUAGAAUUUUCUAUUCAUGUACAAGAUGGUUCCUUAUGUAAUUCUAUGACACUAUGUUAAACACGAACCAAACUUCAAUACUAGAUCAGUUAUACAUCCAUAAAUUUGUUUCAAGUCGAAACUUCCUCGUGAAAGCUCUAAACCUAAUUCAAUACGCUUCAUUCACUCAAUUUUGGGUUUUAACCCUAACUUCCUGGUUCAAACCUCCCAGUGGACUAGUACUCUCUUAUUGGGCGUAAUGGGCCGGUAAACCCUUAAUUUGGUUCUUUUGGGCCAAGAAUCCACAUUAAGGUCCUAGUUGGACCUAAAUACAUUAAACAAUAGUAUUUUGGGCCAUAAGACCCUUCGUGGUACUUAUUGGACCAAUAACCUCUGAAUUUGUUUCUAUGGGCCGAAAACCCAUUUAUUUAGCCUCAUUGGGCAAAGUCUUAAAUGGGCCAACCUUUAGGCCGAGAACGCUCUAAUGGGACUUAAUGGGCCGAAAACUCAUUCCUUUACCCUUUUGGACCGAAAACACGUAUUGGGCCUCCUUGGGCUGGAAAAAUCCUUGAUGGGUUAUUGUGUUCUCGGUUACACCCCAACCUUAAGCCCAAAAAAAUAUUAUUUGUUUCCUCCCUCUCUUAUUCUCGCUAUAUAUAUAUANNNNNNNNNNNNNNNNNNNNNNNNNNNNNNNNNNNNNNNNNNNNNNNNNNNNNNNNNNNNNNNNNNNNNNNNNNNNNNNNNNNNNNNNNNNNNNNNNNNNNNNNNNNNNNNNNNNNNNNNNNNNNNNNNNNNNNNNNNNNNNNNNNNNNNNNNNNNNNNNNNNNNNNNNNNNNNNNNNNNNNNNNNNNNNNNNNNNCUCACUAAUGCAUGGUGGUAACCCAUGAAAAUUAUACACUAUACUUCUAGGAUUAAUGUGCUAAACCUCCAUGUAAUGACCACAUUUAAUCUCUACCUUCUCCCCUCUGAAUCCGGCCAAGACCCCCAUCUCCCUCAUCCCUAACUUCAAAUUCAUUCAAGCUCUCUCACAUCUCCCUCUCAAUUUCAAGGAAAUUCCCUCAUUCCCCUUGCAAUUUUUGUGAGUUUGGUGUGUGUUUUCAAGAGGUUUUCAUCAAGUUUCAUCCUCUUGGUAAGUUCUUAUCAUACGCAUAUUAUUACUCUCCAUUUUAUGCUAAGAUUAUCCCUCAUAAACAUUUUAUUUUCGUGUUCAUGCACCUAGAACUUUCUAAGUUCGAAAGCUAUUCCCUAAGGAGCAUUCAAGGACGAAAAACUUCCUUCUUCUUUCUCUUCAAAACCGAUCAAACUCAAGGUGAGCUUCAUACCCCUUAUUUUUCGUGUUUUACUAUCUUUUGGGGGAGAGUACAAGCUAGUUUUGUGUAAAAUCUUGAUAUGUAUGCUUGUAUGUGUAUGUUUGGUAUAAUAUAUGUGUUAUUAUGUUGAGAUAUUAUGCUAAAAACUCCAAAAUUUUGAGAUUUACACAAGCCUUGAAGUUGUUGGAAUAACGUACAUGAUGUAGCUCCCUAUGUUUGCUUAAAGAGGCUAAGAAAGCUUGAAUAUUCAAAAUAAAACUAAAGAGAUCAUAAUAAGGGGCAAUAUUUGCCACUUUUCAUAAAAGUGGGUUUUUAUUGACAUUCACAGCUUUAGUGGGCCAAAAAUGACAUUUUUCAUAAAUAUGGGUUUUUAAUUGACAUCCACGGUUUAAGUGGGCCAAAAGUGUCAUUUUUCGUGGGGCUUUUAUUGACAUACACGGUAUAUUGGGCCUAAGGUGACAUAUUUGUUAAAAAUUGGCUUAAAAUGUCUUUCACGUAUUUAUUGGGCCUAAAGUGCCAUUUUUAAUAAAAUGGGCUUUUAAUUGAUAUUCACGGUGUUUAUGGGCCAAAAGUGUCAUUUUUGGUAAAAAUGGGCAUUUUAUGUCAUUCACAGUUUUAUUGGGCCAAAAGUGUCAUUUUUGGAUAAAAAUGGAAUUUUAAUGUCAUUCGCUGUUUUCAUGGGCCAAAAGAGUCAUUUUUCAUUAAAAUAGGCUUUUAUUUGAUAUUCUUGAUUUUAAUGGGCCAAAGGUGUCAUUUUUGGUAAAAAUGGGCAUAUAUGACAUUUUCAUUUAAAAUGGGCUGAAAAUGAACAAUUGUGCCCAAAACGACAUUUAUAUAUAAAAUGGGCCAAAAAUUUGAUUAAUUAGUAAAAUGGGCCACUUAUAACAAUUUGUACCAAAAAUUGGACCUUAUACGACCCUUUUAUCCAAAUUGGGCAUUAUAGUGUCAAUUUUGUGUUAAAUGGGCCUUAGCAUCAAUUUUAUAAGAAUCGGGCUUCUCGUGAACAUAUCGUCAACAAUCGACUAUUUUGAUAAGGACGAUGAAACAACGAACUAUCUGACACUCUCAAUAAAAAUGAUUGCAUUUUUACUAUUUAUGAGUUGUAGUUAACGAUAUACACUCGUAACAUUAUUUUUAACGCUACAAUCAUGAAACACACUAUUCGCGUACAAAUGUCGUUAAGGCUCUUGUGAGACGCACCUUCACCGUACCUACCUUAGUGUACACCGUAAGUCCUGUAGUUAUAACCAGAGUAUCCUAGAGGGAGAACAAGAAUUUGUGUAUAGAUCUAUACGGGGUUACACCCCACACCUAAGUUGCUCGCUACAGCUAGACAGGCCAGUCUAGGGUGUAACAACCCCAAACUUUGCUUCCUCGCCGUAACCGUUCCGUCAAAACUCGUCUUAAGCGAAUUGUUCCGAUUUCGUCCUGAAUUAGGUUAAUUAAGUCAAAACCUUUAUUUUGACUUGGUAAGUAUCCAAACAUGUGAAAACGUCCCGAACUAGUAAUUUGAAAAAUUAUAGUUUCGACCAUAUCGGGUAACGACAACUUAAUCGGGUGCGACCCAAAGCAUCAAUUAACGUCGGUAUCGGGUAAAAUUUCACCGUGUAUCCGAGUCAAACCAUAUUUAAAGUAGAUUAAGCCACAUUUGAAGCUUUUUCACUCUCUCUCUAACCUCUCUCCUAAAAUCCAUCUUGUUAAGCCAAAAUCAUCCAUUUCAAGCCUUAAAACACCAAGGUAAGCAUCCUAGCUCCUAGUAUAACAUCCUUAGGCUUCAUUUUCGUGUUUAAAUCAUGGGAUAAGACCAUAAACAUGUGUUUACGGCCCUGGAUCAGCCUUAGGCCGUGAACACAUGUAAUUGGGGUUUUUGAGCCAUAAAACCCUUCCAAAUCACCAUAGGAGCUUAGAUAUGGCCAAAGGAAUUAUUGGAAUGGACUUAAAACAUAUUGAAUGUAAAUUUUAUGGAUUAAACAUGAGUUUACUGCCCAAGAACAUACUUGGGCCGUAAACUCAUUUAAAUGGGUGGUAAACUCCUCUUUUGGGUGUUAAAAUGCAACUUACACACCCCUUAGGCUUUGGAAUAAAUUAUGGAACCAACCAAAAAUCAUUUAGGGGCUUUAAACAUAUCAUAACUCUCUAAGUGAGAGUUUACGGCCAGAGCAUAUGCUCCUGGGCCGUAAACUCCUAGAUAUAUGCCAUUUGAAGCCCUAAACUCACCCUAAGCCUUGUAAAAAUUAGUUGAAUCACUUGUGAUUAAUCCUUGGCCUUCAAAUUAAUUUAGUUGGAUGUGGGUGAGAGUUUACGGCCGUAAACUCUUAGUUUACUGCCAUAAACUCUUCUAUUAAUCCAUAUAAUGAUUUAAUCCCUUUCAAAUGUCCGAAAGCCAAACCUAGCAACGCCCAUUAUUUGAUUUAAGGCCAUUUAGCUCAUAAAAAACACCCACCAUGAGUUUAUGGCCGUAAACUCAUAGGGAUGUGGUGUUUAGGCCGUAAACACUCCCUAAGAGUUUACCAUUGGAGAGUAAACUCUAAAUCCUAGUCAUUCAUGUCCUGAAAAGCCACCCGUGUCACUUCAAACGCUCAUUUUGGAGUGUUUUCGCGUCUUAGAAUGUUCAAGUGUAUCUAAUUAGUUAUUUAAAUCUAAUUAGAUAUAUAUUGUGUAUUAUUUAAUAUUACAUAGGAACCUCGCUCGUAUUCAAGCCUCGGUUCGACGUUUAGCAUCCCAUUCGACACUUUCCGCGUCCGGUGAGUUCAUACCCCUACCCCUUUUCAAUGAUUUUUCAAUGUUUUCAGGGGGGAAUACAAGCAAGAGUACAAGAAUAUCUUGUACUUAAACUUAUGAUUUUAGUUAAAUGGUUUCAUACUUGUACAUUUUUAAGGAUUGAAAACCCUUUUAGUAAACUAUUUAAAUUUGCAGGGUUGUUUGUUUAAAACCGAUUUUCAAUUCUUCUUAUAUACUGUCAUAUUGUAUACUUCUCAGUUGAUUGUUCAUACUUAUAUUGAUAGAAAACGUAAAAUAUUGUAAAGUCUGUAAUAAAAUACCAUAGGUACGAGUAUAAAAGUCAGACGCCAUAAAGAACACAUAAAACUUCAUACACCUAGGCUCGAGUGUAAAAGGGAUCAAUAAUUUGAUAAUAUAAAUCACUGUGAUGUCCUUAAUAAUACACCUAGGAUCGAGUGUAAAGGACAGUAAUCAUUAGAUAACACCUAGACUCGAGUGUAAUGUCCUUAAUAAUGACACCUAGGCUCGAGUGUAAAGGACAGGUAUGUUAGAACUAAGAUAGUCAUAGAUACUACUUUCCUAGUCAAAGAGUAAAGAGUGAUCUUAAAGAUUGGAGACACGUCCUUGUAACACUUCCAUGGCUCGAGAUAGUGGAGGACUAACCCUGUAACCAGAAUCUCCGAUCGUAGGAGAGCGUGACUUGAGUGCAUAGAUUUAUACGGGACUGACAAUCCCGCACCUGGCUGCUAGCUAUAGCCGAACCGAAAGGUUCAAGGGUGAGAAAAGUCAUAAAAAGGAUACUGACCACGACCCGAGUCAUAUCUAGUCUGAGUAUGGUUAAGGACUCGCAAUCUAGAUUAUUAAUGCUUUAGAAUCAUUUUCUAGCUUUAUGUUCAUAGUAAAGCUAAUGUACAUUCAAGGAUGACAGGCACACACACAUACACACAUUCAGGAAAACAUGGGGUUUUCCUAGGGAGAACACUAAGCAUAACCAGAAUCGAUAAUGAUACACACACACAUUCAGGAAGACAUGGGGUUUUCCUAUGGAUAACAAUGAACAUAAUCAGAACUGGUAAUAGUUAGCACACUUAGAACUGGUAAUGGUUAGCACACUUAGAAUUGGUAAUAGUACACACACACGUUUCAGGAAAACAUGGGGUUUUCCUAUGGAUAAUAUUGAACAUAAUCGGAAUCAGUAACAGUUAGCUUAUACGGAAUCAGUAAUAAUUCACACUUUCACACAUAGGAAAAUAUAGGAUUUUCCUGAGUAACAGUAGUUUGUAACCAUAAAAGUGUAAUGAGUUAAAUAACUAUACUUUACAAAAUCAUUUGAAUAAUCAUGUUUUUAUUAUUCAUCGUUUACUUUACUUUCGGAUUUGGAAACUAUUUUUACAUAAGAAAAUAUGGGAUUUUCUUGGUUAACCAUUUUUUUUUCAGGAAACUAAAGGAACUCGUUCUUUUCAUAAAACAAACCGCUUAUGAACUCACCAGCUUUAUGCUGAUUUUCAAACCGCUUGUAUUCUCAGGUCCGCUUUGGACAGGUACCCGACGAUCUCUUUUGGUGAAGACGGAAUGCGUAGAAGAUUCGUCUCUCUUUUGUUUAAACUAUGUAUCUAUGAAACUUGUACUACUUUACUUUUCAACUGAUGUAAUGAAAUCUAUGUAAUGUAAUGUUUUGUGUUUUACUUCGCUUACUAUGUACAUUGGUUAUGAUUCACAUGAAGUCACCUCCGCCCCGAGACGUUUCCGCCUUUGGUUUCGGGGUGUGACAUAUUGGUAUCAGAGCCCUUGUUUAUAGUGAACUAAGUAUACCAAACUUUACAUGGUAUAAGACUAUAAACAUUAAGGGGCCUAAGUGCUCUGAACUAAAAGUAUAUCUCAAAUAUAAGUAUUUUCAAAAAGUAUACAAGUAUCCUAGCCGUCGAGAAUCGUAUCUAUAAGUAGAACAGAACAUAAGUAAAUGGGUGUUGUAGGCUGCAGUUAAACCUAGGCAGUUAUGUAGUCGUGUCUAGGAUUAAUAUAGCCUGAUCAACUAUAUUCAUUCGAGACAUAGCCAACAUGUGCUUGGGAGUGAAUGUGGAAUGCGGCAUACCUAAAACUUACCCAAAUACCACAAACAACGAAUCUUCGUUGCGGUAAAUCGUGAAAUACUAUGGGAGUAUUUCUGGAUCCAACCUUGUAGUAGAAUUUCCUCAUUCGAGCAUUGCCCCUCGAUCAUUCCGUUAGCGAUAAAUAUCUGUUUUGAUAACUCAUUCCUGNUUCGCUUAAUAGAAUUAUAUGUCUGUCAUAAAGAGAAAUCCUUUGUUUCAUAUCUCUUGAUUCAAUUUAGAGGACUUAUUAUCCUCUUUUUCCUAAUCCUUUAGAUCGAGAUGUCUUCAAGGAAAGAACCUAGCACGAAGAACAACGACCCUCCGUCUCCACCCUCAUCUCGCUUCGACCCUGUGAUGUUCCAGCUGGCUGUUUCUGCUGCAGUGACGGCUGCAAUGACGAUCUUGAACCCUAACAAGUCCAUUGGUCCAGGAUAUAACCCCUACCCCCAAAAUCAUGAAAAUGUUCAGGAGCAUCAGAAUGAGUUUGAUGAGAGUAAUAAGGUUAUCUGGAAGAAGCGAAAGGGUCAGAGUUCCCAAGGACCCUCCAAGAAGCCCAAAAAUGUGGCAGUCCAAGUUGCUACCAAUCCUGCCGCUGUUCCUAUAAUUCAAGCUACCACUACUCCUGUUAUUUCGUCUAAGGCUCAAGCACCUGUCACUGGGUAUGCUGGUAAUCUCCCUUGGUGCAGCAGUUGUAGUUAUCAUCAUUAUAUUCCUGGCCCAUGUCGCAAGAUGAUUUGCAAACGUUGUGGCAAGAAAGGUCAUCUUGCUAGAAGCUGCAGAACAGUAGUCCAACACCUCGAGCAAACUUCUAUCGAUCAGGUCUGCUAUAGUUGUGGAGAAAUUGGGCAUUUCAAGUGAAACUGCCCAAAAGCAAUAGCCCCCAAUAAUGUUAACAACGCCGAAAUGGCCCUAGCUUUGAAGCAAGAGGAGGCAGCCGCAAAUCCCACUAACGUAGCGGGUAUAUUUCUUUCCGACUAUCCUUAUGCUCGCAUCUUCUUCAAAUCUAGUGUCAAGAAAGUUCAAUUAGUCAUUCAUUCAAUUAUCUUGUUAAACAUAGUCCUCGUUUGACAAUCAAAAACAUUUACCGUCAAGAUAGUUGUCAGUGAGAAUGAGUGUAUAAACGACUUAUCUCAACGUUGUGUCCUUAUCUUGAGUAAUCAUUCAUUUCUCAUUAACCCGAUGUCAGUUUCAGUAAGAGCUUUGAUGUUAUCCUUAUUAUGUAUCGAUUGAGCCCCGACUGUGUUGAUACACCUCGUUAUAGAAAAACCGUUCGUCUCAAUCUUCUUUCUGAUCAGAACCUCAUAAUUCAUGGUGACGAGUUUAGCGCGAACCUUCGCUUCGUUCAAUGCGUCAAAACUCGAAAGUUCCUGCGAAAGAAGUGUCAAGUAUUCCUAGUCCGUAUGAUCAGCGACAAACAAGGAGUUGAAGACACCCAUAGUAAACUUAAUACGGCAUGGAAAACUUAGUCUGUGAUACAUUAGACCCUUUCAGAUCCCCUUUCGGAUUGAUUCCUUAGCCUUCAGUUCCGAAAUACCUUUAGUAAUUAGCAGCGUUCAUCCUGUACCUUGCACCUCUGUCCUUAAUGAAUACCUGCCUGAUAAAACCAUAUAAAUCCAUUCUAGUGUGACCAAGAACCAUGAUAUACCCAAACUCUCCGGACGAGCAAACUAAGAUCAUAGACCAAGUAAUCAAGCGUAUGAAACCGAGCCACGUCCUGUUAGUGAAGGUUCCAAGCGAGAACCUGAAUUCGCAUGGGAACGCGAAGACCCAAUACAACAGACACAUCCACACCCUUUGUCCAUAAUUUUGUAUCUAAAUUCUUGAAUUUCGGGACGAAAUUCCCUCUAACGGGGGGAUAAUGUAACAACCCGAAACUUUGCUUCCUCGCCGUAACCGUUCCGUCAAAACUCGUCUUAAGCGAAUUGUUCCGAUUUCGUCCUGAAUUAGGUUAAUUAAGUCAAAACCUUUAUUUUGACUUGGUAAGUAUCCAAACAUGUUGGAAACAUGUGAAAACGUCCCGAACUAGUAAUUUGAAAAACUAUAGUUUCGACCAUAUCGGGUAACAAAAACUUAAUCGGGUGCGACCCAAAGCAUCAAUUAACGUCGGUAUUGGGUAAAAUUUCACCGUGUAUCCGAGUCAAACCAUAUUUAAAGUAGAUUAAGCCACAUUUGAAGCUUUUUCACUCUCUCUCUAACCUCUCUCCUAAAAUCCAUCUUGUUAAGCCAAAAUCAUCCAUUUCAAGCCUUAAAACACCAAGGUAAGCAUCCUAGCUCCUAGUAUAACAUCCUUAGGCUUCAUUUUCGUGUUUAAAUCAUGGGAUAAGACCAUAAACAUGUGUUUACGGCCCUGGAUCAGCCUUAGGCCGUGAACACAUGUAAUUGGGGUUUUUGAGCCAUAAAACCCUUCCAAAUCACCAUAGGAGCUUAGAUAUGGCCAAAGGAAUAUUGGAAUGGACUUAAAACAUCUUGAAUCUAAAUUUUAUGGAGUAAACAUGAGUUUACUGCCCAAGAACAUACUUGGGCCGUAAACUCAUUUAAAUGGGUGGUAAACUCCUCUUUUGGGUGUUAAAAUGCAACUUACACACCCCUUAGGCUUUGGAAUAAAUUAUGGAACCAACCAAAAAUCAUUUAGGGGCCUUAAACAUAUCAUAAACUCUCUAAUUGAGAGUUUACGGCCAGAGCAUAUGCUCCAGGGCCGUAAACUCCUAGAUGGAUGCCAUUUGAAGCCCUAAACUCACCCUAAGCCUUGUAAAAAUUAGUUGAAUCACUUGUGAUUAAUCCUUGGCCUUCAAAUUAAUUUAGUUGGAUGUGGGUGAGAGUUUAUGGCCGUAAACUCUUAGUUUACUACCAUAAACUCUUCUAUUAAUCCAUAUAAUGAUUUAAUCCCUUUCAAAUGUCCAAAAGCCAAACCUAGCAACACCCAUUAUUUGAUUUAAGGCCAUUUAGCUCAUAAAAACACCCACCAUGAGUUUACGGCCGUAAACUCAUGGGGAUGUGGUGUUUAGGCCGUAAACACUCCCUAAGAGUUUACCAUUGGAGAGUAAACUCUAAAUCCUAGUCAUUCAUGUCCUGAAAAGCCACCCGGGUCACUUCAAACGCUCAUUUUGGAGUGUUUUCGCGUCUUAGAAUGUUCAAGUGUAUCUAAUUAGUUAUUUAAAUCUAAUUAGAUAUAUAUUGUGUAUUAUUUAAUAUUACAUAGGAACCUCGCUCGUAUUCAAGCCUCGGUUCGACGUUUAGCAUCCCAUCCGACACAACUUUGCGUCCGGUGAGUUCAUACCCCUACCCCUUUUCAAUGAUUUUUCAAUGUUUUCAGGGGGGAAUACAAGCAAGAGUACAAGAAUAUAUUGUACUUAAACUUAUGAUUUUAGUUAAAUGGUUUCAUACUUGUACAUUUUUAAGGAUUGAAAACCCUUUUAGUAAACUAUUUUAAUUUGCAGGGUUGUUUGUUUAAAACCGAUUUUCAAUUCUUCUUAUAUACUGUCAUAUUGUAUACUUCUCAGUUGAUUGUUCAUACUUAUAUUGAUAGAAAACGUAAAAUAUUGUAAAGUCUGUAAUAAAAUACCAUAGGUACGAGUAUAAAAGUCAGACGCCAUAAAGAACACAUAAAACUUCAUACACCUAGGCUUGAGUGUAAAAGGCAUCAAUCAUUUGAUAUUAUAAAUCACUGUAAUGUCCUUAAUAAUACACCUAGGAUCGAGUGUAAAGGACAGUAAUCAUUAGAUAGCACCUAGACUCGAGUGUAAUGUCCUUAAUAAUGACACCUAGGCUCGAGUGUAAAGGACAGGUAUGUUAGAACUAAGAUAGUCGUAGAUACUACUUUCCUAGUCGAAGAGUAAAGAGUGAUCUUAAAGAUUGGAGACAUGUCCUUGUAACACUUCCAUGGCUCGAGAUAGUGGAGGACUAACCCUGUAACCAGAAUCUCCGAUCGUAGGAGAGCGUGACUUGAGUGUAUAGAUCUAUACAGGACUAACAAUCCCGCACCUGGCUGCUACCUAUAGCCGAACCAAAAGGUUCAAGGGUGACAAAAGUCAUAAAAAGGAUACUGACCACGACCCGAGUCAUAUCUAGUCUGAGUAUGGUUAAGGACUCGCAAUCUAGAUUAUUAACGCUUUAGAAUCAUUUUCUAGCUUUAUGUUCGUAGUAAAGCUAAUGUACAUUCAAGGAUGACAGGCAGACACACAUACACACAUUCAGGAAAACAUGGGGUUUUCCUAGGGAGAACAUUGAGCAUAACCAGAAUCGAUAAUGAUACACACACACACAUUCAGGAAGACAUGGGGUUUUCCUAUGGAUAACAAUGAACAUAAUCAGAACUGGUAAUAGUUAGCACACUUAGAACUGGUAAUGGUUAGCACACUCAGAAUUGGUAAUAGCACACACACACAUUUCAGGAAAACAUGGGGUUUUCCUAUGGAUAAUAUUGAUGAUGCUACGAUUAGUGAUCUAUUAGAUUAAUUUGACUGUUUGUACAUGCUGUUGGAUUAGUGUCUAAGUCCAUAACUAUUUUGGUAUGUACUUGACCCGAUGGUGCAUGGUCCUUUUGGGUUGCCUUCACCAAAGCAACUUGAUUGGAGAAAUAAAUAGAGAGAGAGGAUAAUAUGAUUUAUUAAUUUGUUAUAAGAAUAAUAUAUUAAAGGAGAAAUCAUAUUUGUUUAAUUAAUAUUGGUCAAUAAUUAAUUAAGAAUUAAUUUUGUGAUCAAGUGUAAUUAAUUAAACUAGAGGGGCUGAAUUGUAAUUAUGUGAUAGUUACAAAAUAAGGUAAGGAUUAUCUUAUAAGUAUGGUGAACGAAUUUAAGGUUGGAAAGCCUUAGAAUUCCAGUAUGAUAAGGAUUCAAGGAUUAUCUUAUUGGUUGCUUAAUGGAUAAUCAACUAGAUAAGGAUAAUGACUGAAACCCUAUCUCUACACCUAUAUAAACACCCCUAGGGUUAUGAAUUCGUGUAUCCCUUCCCAAGAGGUCCCAAAUACGAAUUCUAACCUCCCUCCUCUCUCCUUAUACCUUCUCCACUUGCUUAUGGUGUUUGUAAGCCAUUAGAGGAGUGACACUUGUGACUCUCUGCUUUCCAAGGUCAAUUCAAGGAGGAAUUGGAUUGUUAUUGCUACAUAACAAUCAAGGUAUGUUCUUAAACCUAUUUACAUGUGAAUUCUGAUUUCCAUAUGCUAGAAUUAGGGUUUAUAGUCUUGGAUUCAAAGCAUGUACAAUAGAGAAACCUAGAUCCAAGCAUUAGGGUUUGUAUGAGCACAUAGGAUGUCUUAUGACCAAAACCCAUCAGUGGUAUCAGAGCCUAGCUUGGUUUCAAUUGUAUUGAUGCAUUGUAUAACUGGAAAAUUCGUUUUUUGGGUUUCUGGAGGCUGGACUCGCCGAGUCCAUGGCUGAACUCGCCGAGUCCAUGCAGACUCGACGAGUCCAAGCCUGACUCGACGAGUCAACUCGUCAGAUGGAGGGUAUUUCGCGAUUUCUUGCUGUUUUUGCUUAUGGAUAGUUACCUUAUCAUGUUAGAUCAAUAUUAAUCCGAUUUUAUGAUAUAUUUGACUAUAUUUUUGAUCUAAUUGAAGAUAUUUAUCAAUUAAUAAGAUAAUUGUUUCCUUAUGUGAUAAUUGAUUAAUUAUUUUGACUAAAUUGAUAAAUUGUUUUGCAAGAAAUCAUUAAAUAAAUCAAAUAUGGAUAAUUAUGUGAUUAAAUGUUAAUUUAGAUUAUUUGUUAUUUGAUCCUUGUUGUUAUGAAAAGUUUCAUAUUUUCCCCUUUAGGUUUUAUAGUUUAAAUUUGAACCCAAAAGUUUUGUUGUUUUGAAAUUUAAAUAGUUGAAACCCUAAUGUUUUGAAAAAGGUUUCAAAACUUGCCCUCAAGUUUUGGAAUUUAAAUUUUGAUUAAAUAGUUUAAUUUUGAUGUAUAUUUAAAUUCUAAACCCUAAUGUGUUGAAAUGUUUCAAAACUUGCCCUCAAGUUUUGGAAUUUAAAAGUUGAUUAAAAGUUUAAUUAGGAAUGUUAAAUUCUAAAACUCUAGUAUAGUUUUGAAAAAGUUCAAAUCACACCCUUAUGGUUUUAUUAAUUAAUUAAGGUGUAUAAUUAAAAGAGGUUUAAUAAAUCCAUAAAAGUUUAGGUUUACAAUUUAAUUGAAUUAAAAGUAUAAUUGUUAAAUUUGACCACCUAGUAUUUUAAAAGUGUAAAAUACACCCUAUACUAUAUAUAACAUUAAAAGUCUAACAUUAUAUAUAUGUAUGAGUAAAAGUCAGUCUUACCGUUAGUAGGCCUCAUUCACGAAGCUGGUCUAUAAGGGGUGUUUAAGGAAAUUGCCUAUAAAAUGGCGAUUGAAUGGGUAUCCACUCUUACCCACCGCACUCUUGACUAGUGGAGGGUCGUUAGCCGAACGGGUAGGAUAGGACGAAACCUUCCAUUAUAAGUAUAAUGAAGUAUAAAAGUAACUAAAUGUUUUCAUAAAAUUCCCAAUCUUAGUUACUUAGGCAAAAGUGAAUUGAUGCAAUUCCAUGAAAUUACACUUUGUGCCCUUGCGAAGACGUUAGUGGAGCGUGUGUGGUUUACCGGCACACUAAAUGGUUCUAAGCAAAGGUAGCAAAGGGUGACUCAAUGUUUGUCAUAGUUCGGUGGAGCGUGUGUGGUUUACCGGCACAUCGAAUAGGUGACUGUAACAUGUGAGGGCACCAUGUAAGUUUGCAUGGUUAUUCACACCCGCUUUGUGAUCCUCGGCAUCCCAGUCACAAACAAGAGGGGCAUAUCGAGAUUUAAACAUGCCAUUGAAAGUUCAAUGAAUCUCAAAGGAUCUAGGAGUUUUCAUAGAUUUAAAACUUAAAUUUCUUUUUCGUUUUUCAUGGUGGAAAUUAGUGAAUCGUCAUUCACUUACCUUCAAAUGUUCUGCAAUUAGGGUUACGGCAUCCCUCUCCCGAGUUGUAGAAUAUUGUGUUGGGUCCUAGCCUUGGAAUUUCAUUUGGGUGAUUUACCAAGGACUCAAUCAAUCAACUAACUUGAAUUCGUUUUCUCCCGUUUUGUAGAUGUCAAAGUUCGACAACUAUGGUAUUCCCAAAUCCCGUGGAACAAGCAUUCCACAUGAAGAUGAUAUUCCACGAUUCGAUCGAGGAUCAAGAAAUCAUGCUUCACUUCCUCCUCCUCCUCCAAUUAUUCUCCCUAACCCACAAGAUUGUAAAAUUGAAAGGUUCAAUAUCACUCAAGCCCUUUUGGCAAGUAAACAUAAAGAAGGAAAGUCGGUGUGUGCACACGUCCUAGGGAUGAAGUCACGCAUUGAUAGACUAAGAAUUUUGGGAUCCGUUGUCUGUGAGGAAAUAGCUGUUGAUUGGGUUCUUCAGUCACUUCCCAACUCAUAUAGUGAGUUCGUAAGAGAGUACUAUAUGACGAACCACAACGUGACCCUUAUAGAUCUCACCUAUAUGCUUAUUGUUGCCGAAUCAGCAAUGGUUUGGCGCAAUAGAAAAGCAAAGUUGAUUGGUGAAUCUGCCUUCAAGACCUCUAUGGAUAUAGACAAUGGCAAUGAAAGACAUGCAAUGACCGAAAAGUUUGAUCAUAACCGAAUAAGGAACAUGUAAGAAAGCUUAGAUCAAGAGUCCUCGGUUAGUCGUACAUGACUAUAUACAGUUGCUAAGGCGUCCCUCUACUAGCAGAUAACCAAAGCUAGUGGGCCGACAUUGGUCCCUUCAACCCAUGGGUAUAGUGAGGCGCAACUCACCUCGAUGUGCGCGUAGAUAACCACUAUAUCAAUGAAGGGCUCUACCAACUUCAACUCACUUCUAAUCACCUACAGGAAGAUACUUGAGUCAAUACCCGAUAACAACUCAUAGUCACUUGCAACAGUAACCACCACACAUGAAAUGACGAUUAGGGUUUCACAUAAAAUGACGAUUAUGAUUAAGUAAGAACACCUAACCCAUUAAGGACUUAAUCACUUAGGGGUAUGAUUGAUUAAGGUUUGACUUAGUCAUUCUCGGGCGAAUAAUAAUCCAAUCAACAACCCGAAUACGUGCCCGGUCAUUGUCCAAAUAGAGCUCCCUAAUUCUAAGGGUUUUCACAUAAAAUUACAACUAGGGUUAGUAUUCCAUACUUAACCCCUUAAGGACUUAACACAUUAAGCCUAAUAUUGCAUUAAGUUAAUUGUAGGGGCAUUAUUAAGUAUUAAUUAGAAUUCAAUUAACAACUUUAAUGCGGGUCCCGACCAACUCCAAAAACUAGGGUUUCUUGACACUAGGGUUUUCUAAACCCUAAUUAGGGUUUCUAACCCGAAUACGUACCAACUAGGUUCCAGGUUAGGCUUUUAGGUUAAUUAGUGUUUAAUAAGUUGGGCACCACCCCGGGCGGUGAUACUCAACGGUGGUUCAUGGCGGUAGCCACCACCUCAUAGUGGUGGUGGUUAUGAUUUUAGGCAAAAACAAUGACAAAAGCAUUCCAAACAUCAGUCCAAUAACAUACAUAAACACACAGCCACAAGAGAUGGUGGCUAGUAGCGGCAGAACGGUGGCAGCCACCACCUCACGGUGGUGAUGGGGGGUUUUCCUUGAUUUUUCGGCCAAAGAUUUCUCAUACAACAUCACGCCAUAAUACACACAUAUUUACACCAUAAAACACACACACGCAUCCAACUUCCACGGUGGCUGUGUUGGAUUAAUGUCUAAGUCCAUAACUAUAAUUGGUAAGACUUGACCCGACCCGGCAUGGUCCAUUUAGGUUGCAUGGUAUCAUGCACUUGGAUAGACUAAAAUGAGAGAAAUAAGACACUUAUGGUUAUUAAUAUAUUAUAAGUUCUAGUAUAUUAAUAAUAAGAAUAAUAAGAUUAUUUAAUUAGUAUUGAUCAAGAAUUAAUCUAGGAUUAAUUAAGUGAUCAAAAGAAGACUAAUUAAAUAUAUGGGUUGAUUGUGCAAAUCAUCCAUAACUUAUAUAGUGGGCCAAAGCUCCAUGGAUAAUCAAGUUGGGUUAAACCCAUAGGAUGCUCCAUGGAGGUUACAUAGGCCAUGGGUCAUGGAAAUGAAAGGUCAUGACAAUUAGGGUUUACAUGGUGUAACCCUAAUUGUAACACAAUAGAUAAGCAUCAUAUUAUUCACCAAAAUCGGCCACUAGAGUGUAAUAGAAGGGCUAGACGAUUUUCAUGAAGUGUAGAAUUCUCUCAAGUUAUUCCAAGUGUAUUUGGUGUUGUGUGAACCAUUUAAGGUGCAACAAAUCGUUAUUUCAAACUUAUGUAAUAAUGUAGGUCAAAUUAUACUUCUUUUUAAUUAAAUAAAGAGAAAUUUUGGCAUACUAUGUAUAUUUACAUAGAUGACCCUCAAAAUAAAUUAUUAAAUAAUCUCAAUUAGGUUAAACCAAGUGAUAGAGAUUGUAACAAGGUUUCCAAAAAUAUAAAGAACACUAAAAUCCGAGUUAUAACGAAGAAGUUAUGACCAAUCGAAAAUCCGCGACAAAACCGGCAAAACACUGUUCAGUGUAAAAACUGAAUUUUUGAUAAAAGGUUUUCUAGCCUUAACAAUCUAAAUGAAAGUUAUAGUUUUUGUUAAACCGAGAACUUUCAUAAAAAGAACGCCAAAAUCUGACUUCGUAUGAGGAAGUUAUGAUUUUUCGAAGUUUCAGUAUAGUAGUGUACAACUAAAAACUCGAAAUAAAGAUCGAGUGGUUUUUAGCCGACACAACCUAAACGAGAAUUGAAGGUAUCGUCAUUAGUAGUACAACGAUAAAAAGACAGACAAAAACGGACGUCGUAUGAAAAAGUUAUGAAUUUAUAACGGAUUCACGUCCCGAUCUGUUUAAAAUAAUAAUAUAAAAAAAUAAAUUCAAAAUUUGCCGACAAAGUCUAAAAGAAAGUUGUAGAGUAUAAUUUUAGCUACGUGUGUAUAUAAAGAACGUCAAAAACGGAGUUCGUAUGCAAAAGUUAUGAAUUUUACAAGUUUUGGCAAAAAAAUAAAGAAAAAUAGAAAUACCCGGGAAAAUUCGCAUGAACAGUAGCGCCACCUCACCCCUCGCAUGCGAGCCUCCACGUGUCGGCUGCUGAGUGGACCGAAGUCUCGCGUGUCACCUCCUGAUUCGGCCACCUCUGCGGUCCAAUCCCACUCGGACAGCCUCGCAAGGAGACACACCGGGGAUGCUCCUCGCACACGCCUCGCACCACCCUCGGACACCCCUUCGCACGUGGCUUCUUUGCAUUGGACCGAGGGCUAGACCAAUCCGAGCCUACCACCUCCGAACCGAAGCUGCUUCCCUUCGCAGAAUGUCAGCCUCGCAUAGCCUCGCACAAGCUUCGGAUCCGAGGCUUCGGCCUAUAUAAGGCAUGCGAGGGUUUCCGGAUUUUUUACACUUUUCACCCCAAAUUUUACUCUCUUUCACUUUUUCCACACCCUUAAGCUUAUAUACAACCCUUAAAUCCCCGGUAUCAAGACUCGAGCCCGAAGUAAGCCGUGAAGCCCCGAAAUUCUCGAGAAUUCAUCCUCUCUCCUGUCAAAACUCUGCCCGAUUUGAGCCGGUUUCUCGACAAAUAAACUCCUUUUCGUGAAACGAAACCCUGUCCGAAUUACCACCUACCAAGUGAGUUCAUACCCCCGUAUUUUCAUAAUUUCUACUGUUUUAAGGGGGGAAAUACAAGUAUAACACAACAACUUUGUGUUAUAAAUAAAUGAUUUCAAAUCACGAUAAAAUGAUUUUAAAGCAUCAAAAAUACUUCAAAUUUUGAACUCUUUUAUAAACUUAUAUUUUUCCCAAAUAUACAUAUUUGUAUAUAUAAUUUAAUAUAAAUAAGAUUUAAAAGGCUUAGGACUAAUAAUUCAUGCUAGGUCCUUUUCCUUGUUUGGAUGUGGACUUAUAGUACCAGUUAUUUGUCCGAAGGUCGUUCAAAUUUUACUUAUUUAUAAAAUUGUAUAUGUAUAUAAAAUUAAAAGUUAUUUCAUCAGUUUAAUCACCCUUUGUAACAUGUUGAGCAAAGGAUUACAUGCAAAAAUAGUUAUUUACCAAUUCAUAAAGUACAUAUAAAUUAUAAUAGGUAUAGUUUAUGAUACAUAGAGCAAUAAUUCAUAUGAAUACAUUGUUUUACAUGCAACAAGGGUUUUAACUCAAAACAAAUCAAGGGUUUACACUUAUCAAAUACAUGUUCGGGAUACUAAGUCAAGAACAUAAUGUCAAUCAUUUAUCUCAGAAUGAUUGGGUUUUCAUAACUAAUAUACAUGUAACGUUUAUAUGCUUUUUAUGAGACAUUCAAUUCAGGUUGUUUAGAUUCAGUCUAGACAACCAAGGUAAAGCCCUGACAUUAUAACCAGAAUCUCCAGUCCGGGGAUCGAAACAAGUUGUGUGUAGAUCUAUAUCGGGAUUGACAACCCCGCACUCAGGCUGCUAGCUACAGUCAGGCAUACAUGCCAAUGAGUGGCAAUUGUUAUCAACAGUUUAAGCGCUCAUCAGGCGUUUGUUUCAGGCGUUCAUGUCUUAGUAUGGUUAUAAUAACUCAUUAAAAAGAUAUUAACAACACGUUAGUGUAUAAACAACUAAACGUAAGUAUAUCUUCAAAGUACCAGUUUACAAAAUGCAAAGUACAAUGCUAUACUAUAGUUUUCAAUAACAGCUGGUGAAGCCAGGCACACUCUCAAAUACAAGUUUUACAAAUACAAUGGUUUACAAAUAAGACGGUUUUAUAGGAAUAAAACUACUUUUCACAUACCACAGAAAAUAUGGGAUUUUCUAGAAGUGUUUUCAUAUUCAAAAUACAAAUACACCCAUUCAAAACAUAAAGACUUAUGUACUCACUCAACUUAUUGUUGAUACUCUCUUUUCAAAUUACUUGUAUUAUCAGGGAAAUAAUAACAGGUACUCCCCGAGCUUUUUGAGAAGAUGAAGCCAUUAGGAGUCUUAUCUUCUUCCUUUGUAUAACUGUUUUGGUUUCAAUAUACAAUGAUUGAACACAUGUAAAUAUUACACUUUUAAAUACAAUGGUUGUUUGUACUUUGAUUACUAUGAUGCAUGUGUUGUGAUACUACAAAUGAAAUCCUCCACCCCCGGACGUUUCCGCCGUCUGGUUUGGGGGUGUGACAGAUUGGUAUCAGAGCAUUGUUUAUAGUGAACUCAGUAUAUCAAUCCAUAAAAGAUAUACAAACUAUAAAUACAUUGGGGCUAAGAGCUCUGACUACAAGUAUACUUUUAAGAAUUUUAAGUAUUUUUACAAGAAGUAUACUAACCCUCAUCCCUACAAGUACAUAGUCAUAAGAACUUAAAAGUAUUUGGAUGUUGAACAUUAUAGUUAAACCCGGGCAGUUAUGUAAUCAUGUCUAGAAUUAAUAUAGCCUGAUCAACUAUAUUGAUUUCAGACAUGACCAACAUGUGUUUAGGAGUGAUAGUAGUGUUGUGACAUGUCUAAAACUUACCAACUACAAAAGAAACUCUAAGAACAGAACAUAAAAUACUAUAAGAAUAUUAUAAACAUCGAUAUGCUUUAGUUUUCUUUUCAAGAAUUUCUCAUAACCCUAUUCUCGUACAGACACAAUGGCAGGACAUCAUCCACCAGGGGACCCUUAUUUUCCAAAUCAUGGCAAUCAGGAAUGGAUAGUGGAAGAUCCAGAAGAAGACUCAGAUGAAGAACCAUUUGAGGACAGCGAGUCAAGCGGUACCGAUACAGAGCCACAAGUCUGCAACCCGGGGAUACGUCCCCCGAGACAAGAGGAAGCAAUACCUAUACCCGAGUGGGGCCAAUACAUAAACCAUUGGAGUCGACAAGACGGCCAACGCCCUCCCUACGGAAUGCAACAGGGUUUCUAUAACGUCUCAGAAGGAGGAGCAGCCGAUAGAGCUCUUCCAGUUAUAGUGAAUCGAAUUGCCCAACAAUUCGAUCAAUCAAGUAUGUCAAUCAAUCGUAUCCUAGAAGUGAAUGCGGCUGCACAGGCUNNNNNNNNNNNNNNNNNNNNNNNNNNNNNNNNNNNNNNNNNNNNNNNNNNNNNNNNNNNNNNNNNNNNNNNNNNNNNNNNNNNNNNNNNNNNNNNNNNNNGCCUUGUGCUACCAAGGUGACAAGAAACUAAAAUUGAACAAGUUUUCAUGUAAGGCUGAAUUUGUCACUAAUCUUAUCUUUUGAUUAUGGUUUUGACAAACUCACAUGGAUAGGAACUCAUACAUUAUAAAAUCUAAGUGUCAUAAGGUUUCUCUCCGAUUCAUGAAAAUGAUGGUGAGGAAACGCUUUCACUAAGUAGAUUUUAUGUAGAUAUCAAUUGUGUUAUUUGCAUUUUCAAAAGUCGUUAGUGGAGCGCGUGUGGUUAACCGGCACACUAACAUGGACUUGUGAGAAAUGGCAAAUGCCUAAGCNNNNNNNNNNNNNNAUCCCUUUUCAUAGUUCUGAAAAUUGUUUAGACACACAUGUGAGCUAUCUAAGAAAGGGUGUAUGAAUCUAAAUUUCAG
rnacentral:lncRNA from 1 species